rnacentral:lncRNA from 1 species
UUAGUCAAAAGAUAAAAUAGUAAAGGCCAUUUUGUUUUAUUUUUCCAUAAUAUUAUACAAAUAGUCACCAUGUAUAUAUACAUGGCACUGACAUGAUUGUGAAGGCCUACACACUUUCUAAUGGUUCUACUGGCUAUCAAAUUUUUUUACUAUAAUAGUAAUACAGGUAAUGCAGCAGCAAGUAUCACACUAUUAUUUAAUUUUGAUAGCCUUAAUUACCACCACAGCUUGAUGAAGAAGCAAAGGCAGUUAUGCCUCUAACUCAAAUGAUGCCUUCAUUGUGGGUGAACGACUCACGGGAUCAAUUUCAAUAGAUGCAUUGUAUCCAAACUUUGUAACUUUAAAUUUUGGUUUUCCUCUUUUCUCAAGGUUGGUUUUGAUUUGCCCCCAGUGAACAGGUUGUCUCUGGAUAUCAGUAUAGACCUGCAGCAUGCAUGCAAAUGGCAUGCAAAUGGUCAUAGAUUAAAUGAUUAUAUAUACGCAUUCUAACUAGUUAAUUAAUGAUAAGAUUGAAUUGAAUGCAACAAAUACCUUGCUGUUCUCAUCUAGUGGGUUGCUCCAGGCAACAACCCACUUGGUUCCAUCACGUCGCCUGUACACAAGACCAGCAACUGAACCAUGACUAUCAGCAUCAUCAGUCACUGAUUCAUGUGUAAACUCACUCGAAUCUCCAUCUUCAAUUAUUUCUGGGAAAUCCGCAUAAUGAGAGCCUUGCCAAACUUUCUUGUCAGUCAAGGUUAGAGCUUCGCUGGAAGAGUUCCAAAGCUUGCCGUUUGUGCAUUGUUGAGCUCUUUUCAUUUGAAAAUUAGCCAUGGUAGCUUUGUAUGUGCUUUGGUUAGCUAAAGUUUGUUUUGGUUGUGUUAUGCUUCAAAUAUUGCAAUACACACCUACUUAUAUACUAGUUUACACCAUGCAUGCAUUGUCCAUAACAACAACGUUUAUGCGCAUGAAAUUAUUUGACUUCAUUCACAUUAAAACUUUUUUAUAUUCUUUUUCCCUUUUUUUAUUCAUAUUCUUGAUGUGUCUUUUCACUUUUAAGUACAAAUUCUUUUCAAUUAAAGAAAUAUUUUUAAAGUAUUUGGAUUUUUUUGAUAAAGUAUUAUUUUUUAAAUUAAAUAAUUAACAAUAUAAAGGUAAACUACUUUCAUUAUGAUCUAAACUAUUAGUAAGUUUAUGUUUGGUUAUUCAAUUUAAAAAAAACAAGCUACAAAUUGAAUAUUAAACUAUUCAAAAAGUUUAUUUAAGUCAAUGAGCUAUUAAAGUUGUUGUUGUAUGACCUUCUCUAUUUGCACCACCUGUAUCUAUCAAAAGUUCUCAUUCCCCUUCUCUUCUACAAUUCACUUUUUUCUCAAGAAAUAACUUUUAACCUCGUGAAUCUGCGAACCAAAAUUCAAACAAAUUUUUUCUCCCAUCACUGACAUUGAUAGUCAAAUCAACUUGGAUAUAAAAUAUGUUCUACUACUUGUUAAUGGUUUUUGAUCCACCAUACCGAUCAUUGAAUCAUUGCUUGAAGCUUGCUAGCAGGACUUUAAAAUAAAACUUUAAUAACCUAGUGACUUCAAUAAAAACUUUCAAAUAGUUCAAUGACCAUUUUAUAAUUAUUUAAAAUUGAAUAACUAAAACAUAAAUUUACUAAUAAUUUAAUAUGAAUAAAAUAUAAUUGUUGGGGACUCAAACUAAACUCACAUCACAUAAUUAAAUAAAUAAUUUCAGCGGAUGUAUUACAUAAAAAAAUUAGUACAUAAUAAAAAAAGUCAUCUCAAAAUUAAAAGCUUCAAAAACAUACUUAAAUCUUAAUUAUAUAUUUUUAAGAAUUAUUGAAAUAAUUUUCUUUUACUAACUAGUGUCAGUUUCUAGUACUUACACAACUCCAUGUACAUCAUUAUCCUGGUAACCUAAUAGUCACCAAAGCAUAAGUAUACAUACAACUAGCGUGACUUAAACCCAAGCCACAACUGGAAUGAUGAACACCUUUAACUAUCAAGCUAUUACAUGAGAUUCAUAUUAAAUUUUAAUAUGUUAAUGAUAUGUUUGAAAUAUUUUUUAUAUUGAUACUGUAUUUGUAUUAAUAAUUAAAUAACUUUAAAUGUAAUUUAAUUUUAAUAACAUUAACCAUUUUUCCAUUAAACUUUGAAUCCCUUUGAAAAAAAUAGUGAUUUGUGUAUUAAGCAUAAAUUUUUGUUGGAAAAAAAGGGAAUAAAACUUUGCAUUUGAGAUGCUGAAAGGCUAAGGUAUUAAAGCAAUGAGACUUUUAGUAUGGAGCUGAAUUUUGUUAUAUUAUAAAAUAUGCUUUAAGUUUCAAGACAUUAUUAGUGGAGUUAGAUGUGUUUAGGUGACACUUUCAUGAUUUUGACAAGUUAAUUACUUGUUAUAUGCAAUGUUUUGUUUUUCAGUUGAUCAAUGAAUUAUUUUUCAUCAAAAUUCUUCUUGUUUCUGUUUCAAUCCAAGCUAUAUUUUCUUGUUCUUCUAGCUCGUGUUUCUUAUUUUGUUUAGCAAGUCACUAUUGCUUAAAGCUUAAGACUUUGCUGUAAUUGCUUAGUGAUAACUCUCAACUCCAAUAAUUUGUAUCGGGAGCUGAUUUCUUAGAUGACCUUUCUCUUUUCUACUUUAAAAAACAAUGUUUUCAUCAAGUUUCUCUCCAGCACCACCACCAGUAUUCAAUAGUGAAGCCUACCACAUUUGGGUAGUCAAACUGAAAACCUACCUGCAGGCAUUUGACUUUUGGGAAGCUAUCAAUGCUGAUGUUAAACCACCACCCUUGAGAGCUAACCCAUGGUAGCUCAAAUCAGGCAGCACUUUGAUGACAAAGCCAAGAGGUAUAAGGCAAUGUCAUGCAUCCAAAACAGUGUGUCAGACUUGAUUUUCACAAGGAUCAUGGCCUGUGAGACUCUAAAACAGGCUUGGGACAAGAUUAAAGAAGAGUUUCAAUGCACUGAAAAAACAAGACAACAACAAAUUUUAAACUUAAGAAGGGAUUUUGAAAACCUAAAGAUGAAUGAGUCAGAGAUAGUUAAACAAUACUCAGACAGGAUUAUGGCUAUUGUGAACAGCAUCAGAUUGCUUAGAGACCAAUUCAGUGAAGCCAGAAUAGUAGAGAAGGUUAUUUCAACCUUACCAGAGAGAUAUGAAGCCAAAAUCUCUUCCUUGGAAGACUCAAGAGGUCUGUCAAACAUCUCUUUGACUGAACUAGUCAAUGCCCUCUAUGCUCAAGAACAAAGAAGAGCUAGCAGACAGGAUGAGCAUCAAGAAGGUACCUUUUAAGCCAAGAGCAAACCAACAUCGAGCUCCUUUGGCUAUAAAGGGAAGAAAACUUGGUCAAACAAGCCUAGAAGAGAUGGAGCAAGAAGAAGGUAUCCACAUUGCUCUCUUUGUAAAAGGAUUAGCCAUUCAGAAGCAAACUGCUAGUAUAGACCUGAUGUGCAGUGUAAAAUUUGCAAACAAAUGGGCCAUGUUGAGAAAGUGUGCAAGAACAAAAACUAACAAAAGGAACAUCAAACUCAGCAGCCUAAAACAGAAGCUCAAAUGGGAGAAGAGAGUUGUAGUCAGGAAGAACAAGUAUUUUUUGUCUCUUGCUCAGCUACCAAAAGAAAAGCCACAAAAGGGUGGCUGAUUGAUAGUGGUUGCACAAACCACAUGACACCUGAUGCUGCUAUUUUCAAGAGCAUUGAUAGAAGCUUUAACACUAGAGUAAAAGUGGACAAUGGACAUUACAUUAAAGAAGAAAGCAAGGAGAUGUGCUGAUUGACACUCCUUCAAGUACCAAACUUGUUUCUAAUGUUCUAUUAGUACCUGAAAUUGAUAGAAAUUCUAAGUAUUGCUCAGAUUUUUGAAAAGGGAUACUCUGUAGUAUUCAAAGGCAAAGAGUGCCUGAUUAGUGAUCCAAGUGGAUCCAAUCUCAUGUCAGUAACCAUGACUGAUAGAAGCUUUCUUGUUGAUUGAAACAAGAUUUCAGUUAGUGCCUACACAACUGCAUUAGAUGAAUCCAAACUGUGGCACAAAAGGUUUGGCCAUGUCAAUUAUAAGUCUUUACUGCACUUGUCUAAAGAAGACUUUCUUGAAAAUUUCACAAAAACAGUUUGAAAACAGGAUGUUUGUGAAGUGUGUCAGCUAAGAAAGCAAGCUAGACUACCAUUUCCUACUAAUAAGGCCUAGAGGGCCUCUAAAAAAUUGCAAUUUGUCCACACUGAUAUGUGCGGCCCUAUAAAGACUGAAUCUUUGAAUGGCAGCAAGUAUUUCAUCAUUUUCAUUGAUAACUACUUAAGAUUCUGUUGGGGCUAUUUUCUCAAGUAUAAAUCAGAAGUAGCUUCAGUGUUUUCAAAGUUCAAGGCUAUAACAGAAACUCAGUCAUGGUGCAAGCUUAAGACACCAAGGUCAAACAAUAGGACAGAAUACACCUCAGCAGUGUUUCAGACCUUUUGUGAGGAAUCAGGCAUUGAACACCAACUCACCAACACCUAUACACCUCAGCAGAAUGGUGUUAGUGAGAGAAAGAAUCGAACUCUGAUGGAUAUGGCCAGAUGCUUGUGUUUGAAAGGAAUUUGCCAAAAAGCUUUUGGGCUGAGGUAGUUAGUACUGCAAUAUACCUUCAAAACAGGCUACCAACUAAACCACUGCUUGAAAAAACACCAUUUGAAGCUUGGUUUGGGUUCAAACCAUCAGUUUCUCACUUGAAGGUCUUUGGUUGCAUAUGUUAUGCACAUAUUCCUGUAGUCAAGAGGGACAAAUUGGAAAAGAAGUCUCAGCCUAACAUUCUAGUUGGCUAUAGCAAUGUCAAGAAGGGCUAUGAGAUUCUGGAUCCUACAACUUACAAAGUCUUUUUGAGUAGAGAUGUUGUGUUUGAUGAGAGAUCAAGCUAGAAUUGGGAUAAAAGUGAACCAGAAUGUGCUGGUCAAGACUUGGUGACAGGGCAAACCGAAGCUGAUAAAAAAUGUCCUAAGAUGGACAUAUAUCAUGAGCCUGUUAGGGGAACUAGACCACUAAGUGAAAUAUAUGAGAGGGAAAAUGUAACUAUUAUUGAGCCAAUUUGUUUUGAAGAAGCUCAAGCUCAAGAAGGCUAAAGGCAAUCCAUGCUUGAUGAAACGAGCAUGAUUCACAAAAACCAGACCUUAGAGUUAGUUGCAAGACUAGUUCACAAGAAGGUCAUUGGAGUAAAAUAGGUGUUUCAAGCCAAGCAUAAUACUAAUGGAACUUUGAACAAGCUAAAAGCAAGGUUGGUUGUGAAGGGGUUUUGUCAGAAAUAUGGGAUUGACUACCUUGAAACAUUUGCACCAAUGGCAAGGCUUGAUAUAAUCAGAUUAUUGGUUGCAUUAGCUGCUCAAAGGUAAUGGAAAAUACAUCAACAUGACGUAAAAUCUAUCUUCCUCAAUGGAUUUCUUGAUGAGGAGAUAUAUGUUGAACAACCAGAAGGUUUUAAAGUUGCUGGUGAAGAAGACAAAGUUUACAAGCUAAAAAAGGCCUUCUAUGGCUUAAAAUAGGCACUAAGGGCAUGGUAUGACAGAAUUGACACGUAUCUAGCAAGCUUGGAGUUCGAGAGAAGCAUUAGUGAGCAAACACUAUAUGUAAAAAAGGAAGGUGAUGAAACACAGCUCAUAGUCUCCUUGUAUGUGAAUGACUUACUGGUAAUAGUAGGAAAUAACGCUAUGCUGUCUGAAUUUAAAAGCAAGAUGGAGACUGUGUUUGAAAUGUCAGAUUUGGGUGAAAUGUCCUGCUUCCUUGGCAUGGAAGUGUCUUCGACUCAACAAUGAAUUUUCUUAAGCCAAAAGGCAUUUGCCUUGAAAAUUCUGAAUAAAUUCUCCAUGCAAAAUUGCAAGGCAACUAGCACACCAGUUACUGUUGGAGAAAAAUUAUCAAGCCAAUGUGAUUUCGAGAAAAUGAAUGAAUCAACCUAUAGGAGCCUAGUGGGAUGUUUGCUUUACUUAACAGCCACAAGGGCAGGCAUAAUGUAUGCAGUUAGUCUCAUAUCUAGGUUCAUGCACUGUUGCAAUGUGAACUACUUUCAAGCUACAAAGAGAGUCCUCAAGUAUAUUAAAGGCACUCUGAGCUUUGGGAUGAUGUUUACCUAGGUUGACAGCAUGAAGCUCCUUGGUUUUGCUAACAGUGACUAGGCAGGAUUGAUAGAUGACAUGAAAAGCACCUUAGGGUAUCUGUUUACCCUUAGUUCAGCUGUUUUCUAUUGGAGAUCAAAGAAACAGUACAUUGUAGCUCAAUCAAUAGCUGAAGCAGAAUAUGUAACAGCUGCAGAGUAAUUUGGUUAAGGAAGAUCAUGGUAGAUAUAAACUUGCAUCAAAGAGAAGCAACAUAGAUCAAAUGUGACAACCAAUCUGCUGUUGCAAUUGCAAAGAAUCCAGUGUUUCAUGGGAAAACAAAGCAUUUUAAGAUCAAGUUGCAUUUUGUUAGGGAAAUGGAACAAUCUCAAGAAAUCAGACUGGUUUAUUGCAGUUCUGAAGAUCAGUUAGCAGAUUUCUUGACAAAGCAUCUUUGUGUGUCAAGGUUCAAGAAUUUGAGAGCCAAGUUGGGAGUUUGCAGCAUGGAAGCCAAGGAGGACUAUUAGAGGUUGGCUUACAUGCAGCUCUUGAGAUCGGGCCAUGCAAUUAGCAGCUAAAGCACAUGCAGCUGUCAUUUUGAUGUUUUUGAUGAUGUCUUGUUUUAGUUACAAUUGAACUAAGUUUGUAAUGAAUUUGUUGUAAUUUGGUGCUGAUAGAUUUGAUAAAUCAACUUAACCAAGCGUGCAAGCAAUGUUUUAUAAGUUUCAAGACAUUGUUAGUAGAGUUAGGUGUGUUUAGGUGACACUUUCAUGAUUUUGACAAAUUAAUUACUUGUUAUAUGUAAUGUUUGGUGUUUCAGUUGAUCAAUGAAUCACUUUUUAUCAAAAUUCUUGUUUCUGCUUUAAUCCAAGCUAUCUUUUCUUGUUCUUCUAGCCCGUGUUUCUUCUUUUGUUCAGCAAGUCACUAUUGCUUAAAGCUUAAGACUUUGCUGUAAUUGCUUAGUGAUAAGUCUCAAGUCCAACACAUGGUUUGUUGGUGGGAGUUUAUUUGUUGUCAGGUUUUCUAUGUUAUGGUUCCUGGUUUGUUGUUUGAUGAUUCGAUGGAUGGACGCAGAAGUUGGAGAAAAGAUAGAGUAUAAAUUGAGACAAAAGAUAAAAUAGUAAAGGCCAUUCUGUUUUAUUUUUCCAUAAUAUUAUACAAACAGUCAACCAUGUAUAUACACAUAGCACUGACAUGAUUGUGAAGGCCUACACACUUUCUAAUGGUUGUACUGGCUAUCAAAAUUUAUUACCAUAACAGUAGUAAAGGUAAUGCAGCAGCAGGCAGCACAUUAUUAUUUAAUUUUGAUAGCCUUAGUUACCAGCAUAGCUUGAUGAAGAAGCAAAGGCAGUUAUGCCUCUAACUCAAAUGAUGCCUUCAUUGUGGGUGAACGACUCACGGGAUCAAUUUCAAUAGAUGCAAUGUACCCAAACUUUGUAACUUUAAAUUUUGGUUUUCCUCUUUUCUCAAGGUUGGUUUUGAUUUGCCCCCAGUGAAUAGGUUGCCUUUGGAUAUCAGUAUAGACCUGCAGCAUGCACGCAAAUGGCAUGCAAAUGGUCAUAGAUUAAAUGAUUAUAUAUACGCAUUCUAACUAGUUAAUUAAUGAUAAGAUUGAAUUGAAUGCAACAAAUACCUUGCUGUUCUCAUCUAGUGGGUUGCUCCAGGCAACAACCCACUUGGUUCCAUCACGUCGCCUGUACACAAGACCAGCAACUGAACCAUGACUAUCAGCAUCAUCAGUCACUGAUUCAUGUGUAAACUCACUCGAAUCUCCAUCUUCAAUUAUUUCUGGGAAAUCCGCAUAAUGAGAGCCUUGCCAAACUUUCUUGUCAGUCAAGGUUAGAGCUUCGCUGGAAGAGUUCCAAAGCUUGCCGUUUGUGCAUUGUUGAGCUCUUUUCAUUUGAAAAUUAGCCAUGGUAGCUUUGUAUGUGCUUUGGUUAGCUAAAGUUUGUUUUGGUUGUGUUAUGCUUCAAAUAUUGCAAUACACACCUACUUAUAUACUAGUUUACACCAUGCAUGCAUUGUCCAUAACAACAACGUUUAUGCGCAUGAAAUUAUUUGACUUCAUUCACAUUAAAACUUUUUUAUAUUCUUUUUCCCUUUUUUUAUUCAUAUUCUUGAUGUGUCUUUUCACUUUUAAGUACAAAUUCUUGUCAAUUAAAGAAAUAUUUUUAAAGUAUUUGGAUUUUUUUGAUAAAGUAUUAUUUUUUAAAUUAAAUAAUUAACAAUAUAAAGGUAAACUACUUCCAUUAUGAUCUAAACUAUUAGUAAGUUUAUGUUUUGGUUACUCAAUUUAAAAAAACAAACUACAAAUUGAAUAUUAAACUAUUCAAAAAUUUUAUUUAAGUCACUGAGCUAUUAAAGUUAUUGUUGUAUGGCCUUCUCUAUUUGCACCACCUGUAUCUAUCAAAAGUUCUCAUUCCCCUUCUCUUCUACAAUUCACUUUCUUCUCAAGAAAUAACUUUUAACCUCGUGAAUCUGCGAACCAAAAUUCAAACAAAUUUUUUCUCCCAUCACUGACAUUGAUAGUCAAAUCAACUUGGAUCUAAAAUAUGUUCUACUACUUGUCAAUGGUUUUUGAUCCACCAUACCGAUCAUUAAAUCAUUACUUGAAGCUUGCUAGCAGGACUUUAAAAUAAAACUUUAAUAACCUAGUGACUUCAAUAAAAACUUUCAAAUAGUUCAAUGACCAUUUUAUAAUUAUUUAAAAUUGAAUAAAUAAAAGUUAAAUUUACUAAUAAUUUAAUAUGAAUAAAAUAUAAUUGUUGGGGACUCAAACUAAACUCACAUCACAUAAUUAAAUAAAUAAUUUCAGCGGAUGUAUUACAUAAAAAAAUUAGUACAUAAUAAAAAAAGUCAUCUCAAAAUUAAAAACUUCAAAAAUAUACUUAAAUCUUAAUUAUAUAUUUUUAAGAAUUAUUGAAAUAAUUUUCUUUUACUAACUAGUGUCAGUUGCUAGUACUUACACAACUCCAUGUACAUCAUUAUCCUGGUAACCUAAUAGUCACCAAAGCAUAAGUAUACAUAUAACUAGCGCGACUUAAACUCAAGCUACAAUUGAGAUGAAUACCUUUAACCAUCAAGCUAUUAUAUGAGAUUCAUAUUAAAUUUUAAUAUGUUAAUGAUAUGUUUGAAAUAUUUUUUAUAUUGAUACUGUAUUCAUAUUAAUAAUUAAAUAACUUUAAAUGUAAUUUAAUUUUAAUAACAUCAACCAUUUUUUCAUUAAACUUUGAAUCCCUUUGAAAAAAUAGUGAUUUGUGUAUUAAGCAUAAAUUUUUUGUUGGAAAAAAAGGGAAUAAAUUUUUUGUUGGAAAAAAAGGAAAAAAACUUUGCAUUUGAGAUGCUGAAAGGCUAAGGUAUUAAAGCAAUGAGACUUUUAGUAUGGAAAUGAAUUUUGUUAUAUUAUAAAAUAUGCUUGAAUGGAAAGUUUUGUUUUUAUUUUCAUUAUAACAAACUAAAAUGAAUUAAUAUAUUAACUAAUAAACAUGGCUAUCAAAUUGUUAAUUGAUUGGACCACUAGAGGUUCUUCUGCAUUCUUAUGAUGUGAUUCUGGUGUUUAGCUUUGUCUGAUGUUACUCCUUUGUUAUGUUGGAUCCUUGGAAUUUGCCUCAUGAUUUUUCUCAAACGCAUAAUAAAUUUUACUUAAUUUUUCGUCAAUUUAUAUUAAAAUAGAUAAAUAAAAGUUAAUAUCUGUUAACUUUGCUGAUAUCACACAUACGUGAAUGACGCAUUAACAAUAAAUUAAUAUUUUAAAAUUUCAAAAUUUAAAAUUAUUAAAAAAGUAUAUAAUAUAUUUUUAAUCUUUUAAAAAUUAAUCAAUUGCUAACGUAGUAUACAUGUGGCAGUCCAUGUAGACUGACGUUAACAAAUAAUAUAAGUUCAAAAAAUAAAAUAGACAAAAAUUUAAGUAGAAAUUUAAAAUAAUUUUUUUAUAAAAUUAAAAAGUCAAAUAAAUAAUUAAAAAAAACACGUAGAAACAUACAAGUAACAAUUUCAACAUUGAAGUUAUCUCUACAGAAAAUACGGAUCUGUAUAUUCUUAUUCAACCAUGAAUUCAAUAUAUAAUUUUUAACUUUAAAUAUGAGAUAAUAUUUGAUGCAUUGUUAGUUUUUAAGUUUUAUGUACCAUCAAUUAAUAAUAUGAAACAUCAUUACUGGUAUAAAAUAAAAAGUAUUGAAAGACUUGAAAAUAAAUACAUUUAAUUUUAUUUUUUUAUUUAAACAUAAUUAAAUAUUAGCUAUAAUUUUUAUUGAUCUUUCGGAUUUUAGAUUCCAAUUUCUUUUGGGUUUUUAUUGGAAAAUAUGGACAUCACAUACAUAAUAAGGAUAAUUGAUAGGUUAGCCUAAAUUAAAACUGAUCUAAUUUGGUUAGAAUUUUAUUGGGUUUUAAUUAUUAAAUAAAGUAUGGGUUAAAUAUGUGUAGAUACUCUAGUAAUUGAGUUCUAAUCAACUUCUAAUUAGAAUUUGAUUAGAAUUAAUAUGCCAAGGUCAUAAAUAUUAGGGUUAUGGUUCCCAAAUUAUACACAAUAUAUCUUUUCUAAUAUCUCAUCAUUAGGAAAGAGAGAGUAGAUAUUUUCUGAAUUUCUUGUGGAUCAAAUCCUCAAGAUAUGGUAAAAAUUUAAGGAAUUCAUGGAUUCAAGUAUGCUUCCGCAUGUAGUUUUGUUCUUGAUUUAUUCUUGAUGAUUUGACAUGAUAGAUCCUGGUUUAUUCAGUUUUAUUUUAGAUUUAUUUUAUAAAUCUAAUAAGUGGCAUCCGAGCCUCGUCAUGUUGACUCAUUAAGAACGAAUUAAUUCUCUAUUUUUUUUGAUUCAUUUAUUUUUUAGAUUUUAUGAAUUUAUUAUCUCAAUUAUAAACAUUAAAUCUUUUAAAUUUAUAUUAAAUAUUUUAGGGUUUGAAAUAGAAAUUGGGCAAGUGAUAAUGCUUAUGAGGAUUUAUGUUGAAAUUUUAGGGUUUUAAAUUUUUUUUAUGAAUUUGGUUUUUGAGGAAAUUGUUGUGUGAAUCAAAUUAUAGUUUAUUUAUAUUUUUAGAUUAAAGUUUUGUUAAAAGUUGAUAUUGAUGCUUGCGUUUCAUUACGAAAUCAGACACAUUGAUUUUUCUUUAAUAAUUAUGCAUCUAUUUAAAAUAUAUAUAUAGAAAUUGAUAUAUGUUUCGUUUAUAUAUAUAUAUAUAAUAUGCAUGCUUUAAUUGGUUUAAUGCAUGUUGUUUUGGAAAAUUAUAUAAAUAUAUAUGAUUAUCUUUUAAUUUGAUUGAAAGAUGAAAUUAAGGUAAAUACUUUGAAACAAAUAAAUUCAGAUUUUAGCUUUUAAUUAAGGAUGUCUACUAUUUUAAAUAAAUUAGUUGAAAUAAAAUGCCACCAAAAUGACAUCUUUUGUGUAGAUUAGUUUAUUUGAAAUAUUAAGAUGAUUAUAUGUUUUUAUGAUUCAUGCGUUUAUUGAUUGACCCAAAGUUAAAUUAAUAUUUGACAGAAUUUCAACGACAUAUGUGGUGAUAAAUGUGUGACAAUUUUAAGGUAUUUUAUGUGAGCAAUAAGUUAGUCCAAAGAUUAAUUCACGGUUUGACAUAAUUUAUUGUCAAUGUUUGAUUGCUACAACAAGAGUACCGCUUACUGUUAAUAUUACUGUCCAAAGCUUUGAUAUUAAUGUUGUGUUUGGUAUCUUGUGAUGGGAUUAGUCAUUAUCUUGAAUUUAUUAUUUACUUAUGAAUAUUGAUUUAAGCUUGUUUUUGUUCUAUAUUUAGCUAAUUCAUCUUCUACUGCCACAAUAUCUGCUAAUAUAAAUUCUAUACCUAUGCUUAAUAGGACUAAUUUUAAGGAAUGAAAAAGGAACUUACUUAAAGUGCUUGGUUGUAUAGACAUAGACCUUACACUAAGGGAAGAACAAUCUGCACCUCUCACUGUGGAAAGCACCCCUGGUGUUAAGAGGGAUUUUGAGAGGUGGGAUCGUUCAAAUCGCAAGAGUCUAAUGAUCAUGAAACACAGCAUUUUAGAAGCUUUUAAGGGCACAUAAUCUGAAAGAUUACUCAGGCCAAGGGUUUCAUUGAUGAAAUUGAAAAAUCUUUUGCUAAAAAUGAUAAGAUUUAGAUGACAUCACUUCUGACUUCUUUGAUGUUUAUGAAGUAUAAAGGUCAAGGAAACGUAAGGGAGUACAUUAUGAAGAUGUUCCAUACUGCUUCAAGACUUAAGACACUUAAGAUCAAACUUUCUGAGGAAUUGUUUUUUCUUAUGGUUUUGGUAUCGCUUCCUGCCCAGUUUAAUCAAUUUAAAAUUAGUUAUAACUGUCAAAAGGAGAAAUGGAUCCUAAAUGAGUUCAUUUCUCAUUGUGUGCAAGAGGAAGAAAGGUUGAAGGAUGAUAAGUCUAAAAGUGUUCAUUUGGCCAAUGCCCCUAAAGAUAAGGGCAAUAAAAGAAAAUAUCAGAAUAAAGCUGCUAAAGGUCUAGCUCAAAAGAAACAACAAGAAGCUAUAGAGAGUUGUUUCUUUUGUAACAAGUCUGGACACGUAAAGAAAGAUUGUACCAAAUAUCAUGCUUGGCAUGCAAAAAAAGGUAUAAUUCUUAAUUUGGUCUAUACUGAGAUUAAUUUAGCUUUAAUACCUAGAAACACUUGGUGGAUAGAUUCUAGUGCUACUACUCACAUAAGUUUUUCUAUGUAGGGUUGCCUAAGUUACUGAAAGCCAAGUGAUGGUGAAAGACACAUCUUUGUGGGCGAUGGAAAAUCAGUAGAAGUGGAAGUGAUUGGGAAUUUUAGGUUGUUACUAGGAACUGGUUUUUAUUUGGAUUUAAAAGACACUUUUAUUGUACCGUCAUUUAGACAGAAUUUAGUUUCUAUUUCUUCGUUGGACAAAUUUGGAUAUUAUUGUUCAUUCAAAAACAAUCAAUUAAUUUGUCUUUAAAUUCAAAUGUUAUUGGAACUAGUUAUUUAAAUACUUAUGACAACCUUUAUUUUCUAGAAACAGUUGCAUCCUAGAAUGAAACCUUGCAUGUGGAAUCACAUGGUAUUAAACACAAAUUAAAUAAGGAAAACUCAUCAUCAUUAUGGCAUAGGUGCUUAGGUCAUAUCUCAAAAGUUAGAUUUGGAUACCUUGUGUUUGAUGGAAUUUUAGAGUCCCUUGACUUCACAGACUUUGAUGUAUGUGUUGAUUGCAUUAAGGGAAAAUAGACCAAAACCAAGAGAUUAGGUGCCAACAGAUCUUCAGACGUCUUAGAAUUAAUUUAUACAGAUAUUUGUGGGUCAUUCCCUAUGGCAUCCUAGAAUGGUCAAUAAUAUUUCAUAACAUUGAUAGACGAUUAACCACGUUAUGGGUACCUAUAUCUCAUUCAUGAGAAAUCUUAGUCUUUGGACAUGUUCAAAGCUUAUAAAGCUAAAAUUGAGAAUCAACUCAAAAAAAGGACUAAAAAUGUCAGAUUAAAUCGUGGUGGUGAGUACUACGGUAGAUAUGAUGGCUUAGGAGAACAAUGUCUAGGACCAUUUGCGAAAUUCCUAGAGAAAUGCAGUAUUGUCCCACAGUACACCAUGCUAGGAUCAUCUAGUAUGCCUGGUGUAGCUGAAAGAUGAAACAUGACUCUUAAGGAUAUGGUAAAGAGCAUGAUUGCUCAUUCUACCUUACCUGAGUCCCUCUGGGGAGAAGCAUUAAAGAUAGCAGCUUACAUUCUAAAUAGAGUACCGAAUAAAGCAGUUGCAAAAACACCUUAUGAGCUUUGGACAGGUCAAAAACCUAGCCUAAAGCACUUUCACACUUUGGGAUGUCUAUCUGAGGCAAGGCCUUAUAGGCUACAUGAAAAGAAAUUGGACUCCAAAACAGUAAGCAACUACUUUAUUGGUUAUUCUGAGCGAUCUAGGGGCUAUAAAUUUUAUGAUCCCAUAAUAAGGAAUAUUUUUGAGAUUGGAACUACAACAUUUUUUGAGGAUGUUGAGUUCGGGGAGAAAUAAGGUUAGAGACAUUGCUUUUGAGGAAGAAUUGGGUUCUAACUCAAUUCCUACUAUCUUUUUUUAUGAUUUUUAGGUUCUUAUACCUAUCAUUGAUCAAGAAGUGAAUCUAGAACCUCUAUAAGACAAUGUUGAACAACUCCUCAUUCAAAAUGAGGUGAUUGUUCCAGAAGAACAAACUCAACAACCUCAAGAACAAGUGUCAUUAAGUAGGUCUACAAGAGAAAGGAGAAAUGUUAUUCCAGAUGAUUAUAUUGUAUUUCUCUAAGAACAUGAGGAUGAUAAUGGAAUGAUGGAAGAUGAUACAAUCAACUUUCAUCAAGCCAUGAAAAGUUCUAAUUCUCAAAAGUGGAUUGAUGCCAUGAAAGAUGAGUAUAAAUCUAUGCAAGACAAUAAAGUUAGGGAACUUGUCCCAUUACUUGAAGGUGCAAAACCAAUUGGUUGUAAAUGGAUAUUUAAAACCAAGAGGGAUACAAACGGUAAUGUGGAGAGGUAUAAGGUGCGUCUUGUAGCUAAACGAUAUACUCAGAAACAAGUUAUUGAUUUUACAGAGACUUUUUCUCUAGUUUCAUCAAAACACUCCUUCAGGAUAAUCAUGGCGCUUGUUGCUCAUUUUGAUCUUUAGUUAUAUCAGAUGGAUGUUAAGACUACGUUUCUUAAUGGCAACAUUGAAAAAAUAAUUUAUAUGGUGCAACCAGAAAAUUUUGAGUCGGAAGAUUCAAAGAAUAUGGUUUACAAAUUGACAAAAUCCAUUUAUGGACUCAAACAAGCUUCCUUUUUAUGGUACCACAAGUUUCAUCAAAUAAUUAUUUCGUUCGAUUUUGAGAUGAAUAUUGCUAAUAAUUGUGUGUAUCACAAAUUCAAUGGGAGUAAGUACAUCUUUCUGGUUCUUUAUGUUGAUGACAUUUUGCUUGCCGCUAAUGAUAUAGGCUUAUUGCACAAAACCAAGAGGUUUUUAUCUAAGCAUUUUGAGAUGAAAGAUCUUAGGGACGCCACUUUUGUUUUAGGAAUUCAAAUACAUCGAGAUCGAUCUUGAGGUAUUCUUGGAUUAUCACAAAAGAUUUAUAUCAAUAAAGUACUCAAAAGGUUUGGCAUGCGGAGUUUUAGACCAAGUGACACCCCUGUUGCUAAAGGAGACAAAUUUAGUCUUACUCAAUGCCCUAAAAGUAACCUUGAAAUUCGGGAAAUGAAAAAGAUUCCCUAUGCAUCAACUAUUAGGAGUUUAAUGUAUGCUCAAGUAUGUACGCGUCCGGACAUUGCAUACAUUUUUGGGAUGUUAGGCAGAUAUUUAAGCAACCCUGGUAUAGACCAUUGGAUAGUAUCCAAAAGGGUUAUGAGAUAUCUUCAGAGAACAAAAUAUUACAUGCUUACUUAUAAGAGAUCAGAUUUUUUGGAGGUUGUAGGGUAUUCUGAUUCUGAUUUUGUCGGGUGCCAAGAUAGUAGGAAAUCUACAUCAGGCUAUAUUUACCUAUUAGCUGAAGGAGCUAUAUCUUGGAAAAGUGUCAAACAGACACUUGUAGCUUCGUCCACUAUGCAGUAGAGUUUGUAGCAUGCUAUGAGGCAUCAAACCAUGGAAUAUGGUUGCGAAACUUUGUCACAGGGAUGCACAUUUUGGAGAAUGUAGAAACAACACUCAAAUUAUUUUAUGACAAUAAGUCAGCAGGGCUGUACAUGAGUUCAUCUAAGUCAAAGCAUAUUAACAAAAGUUUCCAUCUCUUUAUUCAUUUUUAUAGGCUUUACUUUUGUUAGGAUUUGUCUUUCAACAAAAUCAAUUUCAUAUGGUAAUGUUACUUCAUGCUUUUUCCUAUUCCAAAAGGCAUUAGAGAUGUUAGAAUAUAUUGUUGACUCGAUUUCUGUUUUGAUUUGAUUUAUUCUUUUUUGAUCUUUUGUUUUUUCUAAUUGUUCAUUUAAUUUUUUUAAAACAUAUUUCUUCUUUAAGAAUAAAAAAUUAUUCUAUUUAUGAUUAAUUAAAUUAUUGAUUCGUAAUGAAUAAAAAUGUUAAUAAGUUAAGAUUUUUAAUAUUGUGAUUUGUUACUUUGUAAGGUUUGAGUAAAGAUAUAAAGGGGUUCCUAAUAUAAUGUCUUAGGUAAUAUCUUUUAUCAUUAAAAAACAUGUUUGAUGUUUGAUAUCUUUAUUACAAAUUUCUACAUUAGGGAUUUUGAUAUGUGUCUUGAUUUUCCACAUCUAUAACAUUUUAUCGUUUUAUCUUUUUUUUUCGAUUUUUGUUGUUUCUGUUAUUUACUAUAUUUCCUAUACUUUGAUUUUUUUUAUAAUAUUCUGAAAUAUUCUUUCAUAUAUUUUUUCAUUUUAUAGGGAAACAUGUUUUUGAAGAAGAAGGUUCAUUUCUAAUGUCAAAUUGGUGGCAGAAUGAUAGGCAAUGGUAGCAAUUUAAAAAUUCUCAUAGUAGAAACCCCUUGUAGGAAAUAAGAAAAUAAAAUGAUGUUUCCUUAGAGAACCAAUUCUUCUACAAGCUUUACCUCUAACCAAUACCAAGAGUUUGAUCAAACCUCAAACAACAAUGUUAAUGAAUAAGAACAUUAUGAAAAUGUUCACCGAUGUAUACUAUUUUUAAACCCUUCAAAUUUUUAUUUUACACUAGUAAUAAUGUGUCAUUUUAUUAUCACUUGAUGGUACAUAAAAUCUAUGCACCUAUGGUUAGGGGUGAACAAAGCUCGAUUCGAUUUGAAAAAAUUGAAAAAAAAAUCAAAUUUUGAGUAAUUCGAGUUUCGAGUUCGAGUCGAGUUGAAUUUUACAAUUCGAAUAAUAGAUUGGUGUAAAUACCCCUUUAAUCCAUGUCAAUUUUGAAAAUGAGCAAAUUGAUCUCUCUCAACGAAAAAUACAAAAUAACUCAAAAUAAUUUUUAAAAUUCAAAAUAUUUAUAAAAAUUCCAAAAUUUAUAUUUUUAAAAAAUAAAAAUAUUUCUAAAAAAUAUAUAAAGAAAUUUAAAAUUUUAUUUUUUUCUAAAAUAAUAAAUUUAGAGACCUAAAUAAGUUAAUUAAUGAUUCAAGUUUAUAAUUCUAAAGUAUCUUAUUAUUAUUAUUAUUAUUAUUAUUAUUAUUAUUAUUAUUAUUAUUAUUAUGCUUUGAAAAAGUUUUCAAAUAUAUAUAGUUUCAAUUGUAGGUGUUCUAGCAUUAAAUUAAUUAUACUAUAGCAAAAUUUUAAUUUGAUAUAUUUAAUUUUUUAAUUAACUGAACAAUUUCACUUGAUUCGAUUCGACUUGAAUUUCAUUUCACUCAAUUCAAUUUGAAAAAAAUUAAUCAAAUUAGAAUGAUAAAAUAGGAUUUAUCAACUUGAUUAACUUGAAUUUUUUUUACUAGAUUCAAUCGAACGCUAACCCCUACCUACGGUACAUUAAAUAUUCUCCCUAUAUUAUUAUUAUUAUUAUUAUUAUUAUUAUUAUUAUAGUUUUGGCUUUAUUUUAUUUGCACUUUGUAAUGACGUGAGAUAUUUCUAAGAUUACAAAUUAUUAUUAUUAUUAUUAUUAUUAUUAGCCAUAAAAACAUAAAAACUUUAAUUAUAUCAGAAAAUACAAAAAGUUAUGGUAAAAAACUUGACUCAGAAGUACAAGAGAGCCACAACUACCUCACUGUAAAACUAACUUCAAUAUCAGUUCGAAGGGGGAGUAGGAAAUUCAUCCUUGUCAAGAAUGAACACCAAAGAAGUUGGUGGUUGUCAAGUCCAACCUGUAACGCCUUGAAUAGUUUAAAUAUAUUUUUGUGAAAUUUGACAUAAAGGUGUAUUUGCUCAGUAGUUAAGUGUUUUAGGUGUGUGUAUCAGGUCUUGGGUUCAAGUCUCAUAUUUGGGGAAAAAAUUUAUUAUUAUUUAUUCAAGCAUUAUCCCUGUUAGGCAGGCUUAUAAAAUAUUGUUUGUUAAUCUAUAUCAAAAUGAGCCUGCUUGUUUGAGUGGUAAGGACUUAGUGUAUUGGAGGUCUUGUGUUUGAAUCUGUGCGUGAGUGUGAGUGUUAAUUUUUAUUUCUGUUGCCUGAUAGAGGUUCGGUGGAACUGGAACUCUGAGGUUGUUGGAUGAGAAUCUGAUGUCAGUUUUGGUGGGAUUUGUUGUUAGUGGGUUAGUCGGGGGAGUUAGGAUUUUCGUUAAUUUUGAUUUAUUUUACUUUUUUUUUAAAAUUUUUAUCUUUUCCCAAAAACCUCUCCCCUUUUUAAUUUUUUUUGUUUCCCACUAUCAAUUUUCUUUCUUUUUCAUCUUAUCGAUUUCUAUCUUCAUCUCCCUGUUAAAUUACAGUGCUUCGAUUCCCUUUUUUUGUACGUUUGGUAAGUGGUGGUAGUAAGGUUUUUGCUUGAGUUAAGGAGAAUUCUUUUAAAUCCGUUUAAAAAUGAUGUUGUCUUUUUCAUUAGUUCUAAUUUUUGGGUUGUUGGCAGCAGCGAAUCGGCAGGAUCGGAGCUCUCUUCUUGUGGAAUCGUAAUAUCGAGGAUCAUUCGGGAAGUUGGGUAAGUAAUGAACGCUUGGGUCUCGCUGUGAUCAAUUUAUUAUUUUGAUUUAAUUGAGGAUGCAAGACUAAUUUUGGGACGUGCUUUGUCGAUUUUUAGGUUCUUGUGGUCUCAGGAUUGUUUUCACAGCAAAAACAAACCAGGUGUGCACCUUAAACACGAAAAUUGAGGUUCGAAAAAAGCCGAAAAAUUGCACUGUUGACGCCACACGGGUGUGCACCCAGCUGUAUGGUUGGCCAUGUAUAAGACACAGUCGUGUGACUGACGAAGAUGUGGCCGUGCACAUGACACGACCUUGUGUCAGUGUGAGUGUAGUCGUGUGGGCCACACUAGCUAAGUCAGAUUGGGCGUGUGGGUUUAGGGUCAGGCCAUGUAGGCCACAUGAGCAAGGCCAAUCUAGGAGUGUGGGCCUACGUGGGCAGGCCACAUAGGCAUGUAGGCCCAGAAUUUUGAAAUUUUCCCUAGGGUCGCACGGGUCGUUUCGAUUGACUGUGGACCUACUGUAAGGUCGGUAAAGGCUAACCAAACCCUAAUUCAUGUGAUCUGAUAUUUUGAUAAUCUGAUUUGAGUAGGACAUUGAUAUGUAUGUAUGACUGUUCUGUUUGAGUAUAUAUAUAUGUUAUCUGUAUACAAGCAUGUUAGGCAUGUUAAUUCUGCUAAUUUUGAAUUUUGUAUCUGUGUUUGGGGAGAGAUUUGUAUAUGUAGAGGAAGUGAUCUAUAUGGCGACAUUUCGCCUAUAUUCUGGUAGAUCGACUACAUAUUAUCUAUGAUAUGUCGCAUCGACACUAUAUGGUAUGUAGGGAUGGUUGGGUAUUUUUAACCCCAUAUGAUGUGAUGGGAUGGAUGGAGAUGGUGUGUAGAGGAUGGGUGUAACGCCUUGAAUUUUACACCCAAAAGUUUAGAGAUUUGAGCAUAGGGGCAGUGGGGAGACUGCACAUAAAUGAUUAGUUGUGCACUCAAGUGACAAGAAUGGGCCUGUUGGUCUGGUGGUUAAGUGAGUCUUAGCAUACCUUGAAGAUCCGGGUUCGAGUUACGGGAGGCAUUUUUUUUUAGAGUCAUUGUUUUAUUUUUGUUUGUUUUAGUUAAUAAAUAUUUAGCUAUUAUAUUUUGUAAUUGUAUAUUGCUAUUUUUAUUUUUGUUUUGGACGUUCUUCUGUUUCUCUUUUUGGUUUUUGUUUCCCUUGCUUUUCUUUUUGAGGAUUAUUCGGAUUGCUUUUGAAAGUGAAUUGUCUAUGGAUUUUGGGAUUUGCACUCCUCCUUCGACUUCUUCGUCGUUGGGUCCAAUCACAACACAGGUGUGGGAUUCAAAUCUGGUUUACCUUUUCUUAUUAAUUGAUAUUUCAUUUUUUUGAAUUCCUUUCUUUCAGCUUUUCGUAACUAUACAUUAACCCCAUUCAUUUUUGGGUAUUGAGACAUUGUAAGAGAGGGGAAAGCACUAGUAUCUGAUGUACUCUUGGUGUGGUUAAGGUUAGGGACUAUUAUGGUGGCUUAAACGACGGUUUUGGACUAAUUUUGAGUGGUUUCGUGACCUCCCCGAUGACCACAUGGCUGUAUAACUCGGCACACGGCCGUGUGGAUUUAGGAACUAGGGUUUCGGGAUAAAUUGGGUACCAUACGGCCGUGUGGCUGAUUUGGGGAUUUUAUCAGAAUUCACACGAUCGUGUCCCUUCGGCACACGGGCGUGUGAGUUAGAGAAUUAGGGAUUUUGGAUUCGGAGUCAUAUGGAUGUGUGGUUGAUUUGAGGAUUUAAAGAUCCCACACGGGCAUGUGUUUCAGAACACAUGGCUGUGUCUGGUGGGCAUAUGGGCGUGUGAGACCCUCACACAGUAAUGUCUCCCCUGCACUUUAUUUUAGCGAUUUUUGACAAUGUUACAUGACCUGUUCACACGGCCGUGUCUGUAAUAUCCCGAAUUAGGGCCUAAUCGGAAUAGUGGUUUUGUGACCACAAAUCCGAGAUAGAAAUAAUUAUUUUAUAAUUAUUUUGAUGAUUAUGAUAUGAUUGCAUGAUUGUGUGAAAAUUUCGUGAUGAAAUUCUAUGCCUAAAGUGCUUAAAUUGAAAGUAAGGACUAAAUCGAAUAAGUUGCAAAACUUGCAUUCUAGAAGUUUUUUGUAUGAAAUUGUUUUGGAAUAUUAAUGAGGAGGUCUUAAAUAGCAAUUUGACCAAUUUUAAGUUCAUGGAAAAAAUUAGGACAUGGAAGGAAUUUUUGGAAAGUUUAGUAGUAAGGGUAUUUUGGUCAUUUAGUUAUUAAAAUGAAUUAAAAACAAAAUUAAAAGCCAAUUUUUGUCCAUCUUCUUCAUUAGGCCGAAAUUUCAAGGGUUCUCCAUAGCUAGGGUUUGUUUCAAGCUUCCAAGCUCCAUAGUAAGUGAUUCCAAGCCCCGUUUUUAAUGUUCUUUACGUUUUUGGAAUCCCGGUAGCUCGAUUAAGCUUAUGUUAGCAAUAAUUCAACCUAGGGUUUAUAUUUGGAAAAAUACCCAUAGGUGAAAUUUGUGUAUUUUGAUGUUUUAUGAUAGAAUAUGGGGUUUUAAAUUAUGUUAGACAACUUGUACUACUCGAUUUUAAGCAAAAACGAGUAAAAGGGCUUAAUCGGUAAAAAUACCUAAUAGUCACAAGUACAUGUUAGAGUGAGAAUUUGAUGUUGCCAUAGAAGAGAAAAGUGAUCAGCAUGUUGUAAAACAUAAGAAUAAGGAAUAAAGUUUAAUCCCGAGCCUAGGGGCAAAAAUGUAAAUAUGCAAAAGUUUAGGGGAAAAAUUGUAAUUUUGCCAAAAUUUGAGUUAAGGAUUAAUUUGAUAAUGUGGGUAUUAAAUGAGCUAAAUGUGUUAUUUUAGAUCAAGAAAGACGUGGAAUCGACCUCAAUCAAGGAAAAGAAAAGAUUGUGGACUAAAUUGCAAAAUCUUUAUAUUUUGGUACCAAGGUAAGUUCAUGUGUAAAUGUAGUAACAUAAUUGUCAUUUUAACCAAUUUAAUGUUGUUUAUAUGAUAUGAUGCUGAUUAUUAUCAUGAAAUAUUAUGCUUUGUGGUUAUUGUUGAAUAAUAUGUAAUUAUGUGAAUUACUUGAUGAGUAUGAACUAUCACCGAAGUACCGAUUUCGAUAUUCCGUGGAAGACGGCAAAGAUGUGUGAUCGAGGAAAACGCCCGUUUGAACCUUAGGAAUAGAUUAGGAUACAAGUGACAUGUCACUAGGAUGGUUGAGCAUCCAAACUCGUUGAGUUGAGUCCGAGUUCACUUAUGGAUGCGAAUGUCCGAACUCGUUGAGUUGAGUCUGAGUUCGUGAAAUGUAACUAGGCAUCCGAACUCGUUGAGUUGAGUCCGAGUUCACUUAUGGAUGCGAACGCCCGAGCUCGUUGAGUUGAGUCCGAGUUCACUUAUGGGCGGGUUACAUGGUAGCUUGAUUACAUAUGAGGCUCUUAUAUGCAAAUUAUCCAUGUAUCCGAAUUAUAUUCCGAUGUGUUCAACGGGUAAAGUUUUACUCAAAUAGAGGAAUACUCGAGAUGAAAAGAGACGUAUUGGUAAGUGAUGAGAAAUGGAUAUUUUGUACAGGUAUGUAUUUAACCCUCGGGUUGAGUGUUGAUUACAACCACGAUAAGGUAAUAAGAUGAUGGAAAAUGAUUAAAAAAUGUGAUAAGUGUGUUGAUGAUAUAUGCUAAUGUUGAUUAGUUUGAUUGUUUGUUAUGUUAUUUAUUAUUUACAUAUGAACUUACUAAGCAUUUAUGCUUACUCCCUCCUUCUUACUCAUUGUAGUUUUGGACAAGCCAGUUCAGGAGUCGGGAUAGGUUGAAGGCUCAGUCACACUAUCAGGAAGAUUUUUGGUAAAUGGCUUGUAAAUUUAAGUAUGGCAUGUAUAGCAAUAUACUUAUUUUGUGUAAAUGAUCUUAUGAUAUGGUGACAGAAUGGUUGAGAAAAUAUUUGAUAAUGAUAAAUUAUGAAAAUGGUAAGUUUAGAUUAUGUUUGAUGUUAAGGAAAACUAUUAUGAUACUUAGUGCAUAAAAACUCAUAAGAGGGAUGAAAUUUGCCAUAAACAGAAUACUGCAGCAACACUGACCCGAGUUUGAAAAUUUACUAAAAAUCAUAGCAAUUAAAUUUGGUGAUGGACUACAUAUCAAAUUUAAGCUUAUUAUGUCUAGUGUCACAUGAAACAAAUGAAACAGGUAAAGGAAUUAUAUGUUAGAAGAUAUUUGAAUUUUAGUGAAACAGGUUCAUAGCAGUUUCUGAAUCCCCUGCUCCUACUUUAGAAAUUCACCAUAAAUUUUAAAGAUAUAAUUAGGUGGUGUAUUUUAUAUCCUAAGAAUACUUAUUGAGUCUAGUUUUAGGAGAAACAAACCUCAUAGUCAUAUGAAUUUUUUACAUAGAGAAAUGUGGUUCAUAGUAAAUAGAGGUCAGACCAGUCAAGUCCUGAAAUAGGGGUAACUUUAACUAAUAAACUGUACUAAUUGGCCCAUUCAAAAAUUUUAUAAAAAAUUAGUAGAUAGGUAUAUGAGUCUAGAUUUAGGGAAAAUUUACGGAUCUUGAUUUCGAGUUUCGUAACUCGAGAUAUGAUUUUUCUUGUGACUGUGACGCAAGUAGCUUAAAAGCUGUGAAUAUAGAAACAAAUAAUCCAAAGUUCUAAAAAUGUUAAAUUAAGCUUAGUAACACCUCAUACUCGACUCCGGCGACGGUCUCGGGCGUGGGGGCGUUACAGUGUCCCCGCUUCACACAAGCGUGUGCCUCUAUCACACGGGCAUUUGGAUCACCACACGGCCUAGUUUGUCCCACACGACCGGGGCACACUGGCAUGUGGCCCUAUUUUGCUAGAUUUUGGUUUUAGGGCAAAUGUAAGUGCAAUUGGGACCUUGUAUGUUUCAACCCUUAGCUAAGCUUUAGUGAGGGUGUUUAGACUCUAAUCUGAGUUUGGAUAAUGUGUUAUUUGUGAUUGGUUGUGUGACAUGUUUGAUUCUGAACUUGGUUAGCUGGGUGAGUGUGUGAGCAACUAGUUCUAUCUGACUGUCUGACUACGUGUUAUCAAUAUGCGAGGUUAUUUUGUAAUUGAUACUGAACUCAAGUAAUGAGUGUGCACAUUUCUGAUUCUGAUUGACCAUAUAUGAGUGACUGUCUCUGGUUAACUAUCUGGAAAUUGAUAUUUUGAGUUUUGUGCAUCUGUCUGUAUACAUACAUUUGCAUGAAAUUGUUUUGGGUGGGACUUUGAAGAGAAGGAAGAUUGACUAAACUAAACUGUUAGCUAAUCUUUUGGUUAUUAGCCUUAAUACCCAGAGGGUUAUGGGCGGUCCCAAUACCCUGAGGGUCGUGGACAAUUUGACUGUACUGCGGACUACUACAUUAUACAGAACAUGCAUCAGUAUCGCUGCGUAUCAUUGACUGAACUAGAAGUUUUAUUACAACCUAAUAGUAUAGCGGUUUACCGUAUUGCGCUGUACCGCAUGUACGUUAGCUACGCUACGUACAACUAUUUGAUCUGGCAGUUUAUACUGCAUGUCUGUACCGCGGUUUAUCGCAUUGCAUGAUACAGCUUAUACUCUAGCUUUGCUGCAUAAUAUACGUGACUGGCAGUUUAUCUACAUACUGUUAGCCUCAAUACCCAGAGGGUCAUGGGUAGUCACAAUUCCUUGAGGGUCAAGGACAAUCCUGAUGGCCAAUGUUGCCGGAUAACCCGGGAUGACAUCAAUUGGAGUGCAGGGUUGGAUGGUCCUUACGAGGUCCAGAGUUGAGUGAUUGGUGGGAUGAGUUUAAAGCUCUUAUGAGGAGUAAUGAGGGACGAAGAGGUGUGUUGGCUAGAUAGGUGGGUUUCUCAUAACUCAAUUACAUUCAUAUGCAUCAUAUUGACUGCUCGACUGAAAUGUCUGAUUGACGGUUCGAUUGAAAGGCACUUGUGCCUAUGAGAAUUGUGUAGACUUUGACUGUAACUGUCUGACUAGAUAGUUCUUAUCACUGUUGAGAAUUACUGCUACUGUGCCUGAAUGGUACGUGAAACUGUGUGCGUCUGAUUGACUCAUAUGACUGUAAAGUAAUAUGGUGUAUGAUUGAUUUUGGGCGAAUUCGCUCAACUGUCAUCUGUCUGUCUGUAUGUUUUGCUUUUGAACUACUUCUAGUUCCCUAUUUUCGUUUUUGUAGUUUAAUUGGUUUGUUCUCACACUAAGCUUGAGUAGCUCACCCCCUCUUUUUUUUCCCCUUUUAGGUACAGUUUUGGAUUCUGUUGAUGGGAUCAGUACGCGAAGGUCUCAGACAGUCUCAGUGAAAGUGGAAUAUUAGUUUGUGAUUUUCAGUUUUUUUUUAUUCGUACUGUAAGAUUUUAUAAUAUUAUGGUACAAUUACUAUUUUAAACUUUUAUUCGUACAUGUUAUUCUCUUGUGGAUGGAAUUUUAAACAAUUAAACGUUUUGAUUUGUUUUAAGAUAAAAAUUGUCAGAAAUGGAAUUUUGAACGACUUGUUUUUGUAGAAAUCUUCUCAGGAUUGCUUUGGUGAUCAAUGUAGUAUUUCGAAUUCAGUCUUUACUUCUAGGCCGGGUUUGGGGUGUUACAAGGGGGGUAGGAUUCUGAAUAUCCAUUCUGUUUAUCUGAUUCUGAUAUCUGUAUCUAUUAUGGACUUAGGUCCGAAUCUGUAUCUGACUGUAUAUGAAAUAUGGUGUAUGUUACUUGGCUAUUUCUGUUGGGUUACACAGUGAGUUUACGAAAACUCACAUUUUUUUGUCUAUUCUGUUCAGAGGUAAUCUAUAGACUUAAGCGGGUUAGUGCGACAGAGGCUCAACAGUGACCACUUGACUGAGAUUUGUUUUUAUUUAGUAAUAAUGGUUUAUUUUAAAAUCUGGUUUUCUUAAGAGUUUGUAAUUUUUUGGGACUCUCUGGACUGUAUGAUUUUAACUUUUGGAUUUGGAUUUUGUUUUGUAUUUUUUUCCGCAAUGUUGACAAAAACACUAUGCAAACAAAUGGUUUUAACAAAUAGUUUUUAGAAAAACGAGCUUGGUUUUGUUUAAAAUGAUUUUGAAACUUCUACUUUGAAAUAAACAGUUAAUUUUAAAGAACAACUCAAAAUAGUUUUAGUAAUGUAUAUGUAUAAAUGAAUAUGUUAUAAUACCUAGAUGAUUUAACUAAUAACUAAACAUGAUUUUAUCGAAGUAUUUUCAGUUUCAAAACCCUUCAUCGUAACAUUCCUAGAUUCAGCCAUAACGUAUAGGCUGUGUUUGGGGUAUUACAUUUAGUGGUAUCAGAGCUAGGUUACAAAACUCAGGCUGUAAAUUUUGAGUUUCAAAAUUGUAUUUCAAAAAAGAAUUGGUUGAUAAUUUAGAUCAUUUUGAGUAAGUAUAUGGUACACCGAGUCUCCGGCGCCAAUACUCUAAGUAUCUCUAAAUUUAGAAAACACUAAAUUAGUACUUUUUAAAAUUGUACUAAGUUAGUUAGAGACUAAAGCCUCUGAAAUACUUCUGAACUUCUGAUAAAUUAAGUAUAAAAUAUCUGCUAAUAAAUACUGGAACUGAUGCAUAAAAUUCUAUAAUAUAGAUAAAAUUGAAAAUACGAUGAGCGCUCGUGGAACUCACGGUCGUAUUAUUUGUGGUUGUGGUGGGUGUCGUAGGAGGGCUCGAGCUAAGUAUUCUUCUCUGUGUAGUAUGCCAAAUUUAAACACAAGUGAGACACUAGUUUCACUUGCUAUUGAGACUGGGCCUCAAAGCCGCUCGGCGGGGGACGACGCAUUGUCCCAAGCCAUGUUGAGAGUAUUGGAGAGGGUCGUUGGACCCCAUUCUAGAUCUGGGGUUCGUAGGUCGGUAAUUGAAAUACUUCAGUCCAAUGAAGCUAAGUUGUUUAGGGGCGUCACUAGAGUCGCCCCUACUGUGGCUGAGUAUUGGUUAAAGGCCACUGAGAGGAUUAUGAACGACAUUGAAUGCACUCCUAAGAAGAAAUUGAAGGGUGCAAUCUUUUUGCUUCGUGACAAAGCUUAUCAGUGGUAGUUGUCAGUUGAGGAACGUACUCAACCAAAUCAUCUGAACUGGGACUAACUUAAGACUGCUUUCUAAGGAAAAUAUGUGGGUACAAUUUAUGUUGAUGCUCGUAGGCGUGACUUGAGCUUAUGAAUCUCAUGCAAGGUGAUAUGUCUGUGGCCGAGUAUGAGGCCGAGUUUCUAAGAUUGAGCUGCUACGCUCGAGCUAUGAUGGCAUCUGAGUAUGAGAAAUGUGUUUGUUUUAAGGACUGUUUAAGGGAUAGUCUAAGGGUUCUGAUUGCUCCGCUGAGGGAGCGUGAGUUUGUUGUUUUGGUAGAUAAGGCGAAGAUUGCUGAAGAGGUUGAGCACGUGGAGCACCUAAACAGGAAGCGAUAGAGAGGUAAGAACAAGAGGGAUUUGGUGCCCUCUAGUGCUGUUUAGAGGCCUAAAAAGUGGGCUAGACCUGAUUCGCUUGUUAGAUUGAGAGUUCGUGUUGCUCCUACUGGGAUUCAGCCUUGUGGUGAUUGUGAUAGGCCAUCCGAGCACGUGUUGGAAGAGAUUAGGGGCUUGUCUGCGGUGUGGGUCUUUGGAGCAUGGGAUUAGAGAAUGUCCACAUCGUGCUGAUCAGACGCAAGCUUUGGGACUGAGUUUUGAUCAACCUCAGAAGGCAGUACAACAACCACCUAGGGGCCAUAGACCGGCUAGGAGUGGUAAUGGUAUCGGCUGAUGACAGAAAGCACCGGGUAGAGGUGCUAAUCAGAUUGAAAUGAGGCAGCCUGUAUUGGUUUAUGCUGCUUGAUGCCGAGAGGAUAAUGACAUUCCUGAUGUGAUCACGGGUAUGUUUUUAAUUUUUGAUGCUCCAUAUACUGCUUUGAUAAACAUAGGUUCUACGUACUCCAAUGUAGCUAGUACUGUUUCUAGGAACUUGGGGAUUUUUGUUGAGUGCGCUUCUGGUGAUAUUAUUGUACUAAGUCCAUUGGGAUAGUCUAUUCGAGUAAAUAAACUUUAUAGGAAUGUUUCGUUAAAAGUAUAAGAGGCUGCGUUUUCAGAAAAUUUGAUAGAGCUACCAUUUGGGGAGUUCAACUUAAUUCUGGGUAUAGACUAGUUAGUUGAGCACCGAGUUAGGUUCAAUUGUGCGACUAAAAGGGUUGUUCCGAGGACCGGGGAUGAUAAGGAAGUGGUUGUGAUCGAUGAGCAUCGAGAUUACUUGUCUGAUGUGUUCUCCACUUUAGUGGCUGAGAAAUUGGUUUAGAAAGGGUAUGAGGCGUAUUUGGCCUAGUCAGUGUUUCAGUUCUAGGAACUCUUCUGUCAAGGAUAUUAAAACAAUGAAGGAAUUUUUAGAUGUUUUUCCUGAGGCAUUACCAAGUUUACCUCUAAAUUAGGAAGUUGAGUUCGGCAUUGAGCUUCCAUCAGGUACAGCUUCGGUGUCUAUCGCUCCAUACCGUAUGGCACCGAAGGAGCUUACAGAGUUUAAGGCUCAACUUCAAGAGCUUCUAGAUCGUGGUUUCAUCCAUCCUAGUAUGUCUUCGUGGGAGGUAUUGGUUCUGUUUGUAAAGAAAAAUGAUGGUACCAAGAGGAUGUGCAUCGACUACCGGCAGUUGAAUAAACUGGCUGUGAAGAAUAAGUACCCACUUUAGAGGAUUGACAACCUAUUUGAUCAGUUCCGUAAGGCUACGGUAUUCUAAAAAGUAGAGCUUCAUUCUAGGUAUCAUCAGCUUAGGGUUAAGAAAGCUAAUAUUCAUAAGGCAGCUUUUAGGACUCGUUAUGGGCACUACGAGUUUCUAGUUAUGCCCUUCGAUUUGACGAAUGCUCCGGCUACAUUCAUGGAUAUGAUGAACCGAGCUUUUCAGCCGUAUCUGGACCAGUUCUUCGUAAUCUUCAUUGACGAUAUUCUGGUGUACUCUAAGACUAAGGAUGAGCAUGGUGCGCAUCUUAGAGUAGUGCUUCAGAUGCUCCGAGAGAAACAACUCUACGCUAAGUUGAGCAAGUGUGAGUUUUGGUUGCGAGAGGUAACUUUUCUGGGACAUGUGGUUUCUGCUGAGGGGAUUCGAGUUGAUCCUUGAAAGAUUGAGCUUGUGCUUGAUUGGAAGCAGCCUAAGAAUGUUUCUGAUAUCCGUAGUUUUCUGGGUCUUUCGGGUUAUUAUUGGCUGUUUGUUGAAGGGUUUUCACUAAUUACGGCUCCUUUGACUAAGCUUCUGCUCAAGAGUGUUUCUUUCGUUUGAACUGAUAUGCAAAAAUCGAGCUUUGAAAAGCUCAAGUCCGUUUUGACUCAAGAUCCUAUUCUGAUAUAGCCUGAAUUUGGUAGGGAGAUUGUGGUGUACAGUGAUGCGUUGCACAUCGGUUUGGGAUGUGUACUGAUGCAAGAUGGUAAGGUUGUGGCUUAUGCGUCCUGUCAGCUUAAGUCAUAUGAGGGGAAUUAUCUGAUGCAUGAUCUCAAGUUAAUCGCGGUGGUGUUUGUGUUAAAAAUCUAGAGGCACUAUCUGUAUAGUGAGAGGUUUAUUAUCUACACCGAUCACAAGAUCCUCAAGUACCUCCUUACUCAGAAGGAGUUGAAUCUUAGGCAACGUUGAUGGAUUGAGUUGCUCAAAGAUUAUGACUGCACGAUAGAGUAUCAUCCUAGUAAGGCCAAUGUGGUGGUCGAUGCUCUUAGUCAAAGAACGAUGACUGAUUUGAGGGUUAUGUUCGCUCGUCUCAAUUUAUUUGAUGAUAGAGGUCUGUUAGCCGAGUUGCAAGUUAAGCCAACUUGGAUUGAUCAUAUUCGAGUUAAGCAGUUAGGGGAUGAUUCUAUGGUUCUGCGGUUUUGUUAGGUUGAGAGUCAUAGUACUUUUGAUUUUGGACUGAUUAAUGAUAGAGUUUCGUGUUUCUGAAGUCGGGUUUGUGUAUCGAGCAAUUGUGAUUUGAGGCAGUCAAUUUUGAGGGAAGCACAUAGUAGCCCUUAUGAUAUGCAUCCUGGUGGUAAUAAGAUGUAUCGGGAUCUUCGUGAGUUGUACUGGUGGCCGGGAUUGGAACGUGAGGUAACAGAUUUUGUUGGUUGUUGUCUGACAUGCCAGCAAGUUAAGGCUGAACACCAGUUGCCUUCAGGUUUGCUUCAACUUGUUAAGAUUCCCUUGUGGAAAUGAGAAUGAGUGACGAUGGACUUUGUUAGUGGAUUGCCCUUGACAUCCAUUAAGAAUGAUUCUAUUUGGGUCAUCGUGGAUCGAUUAACCAAGUCUGCCCAUUUUAUUCCGAUUUAGACGGACUACUCUCUGCAAAAGUUAGUGAAGCUCUACAUCUCUGAGAUUGUAAGACUGCAUAGGGUUCUGGUUUUGAUAAUUUCUGAUAGGGAUCUUUACUUUACUUCUCAGUUCUGGAGGAAACUGCAUGAGGCUUUAGGUUCAAGAUUGGACUUCAGUACCGCGUUUCAUCCUCAAACCGAUGGUCAAUCUGAGAGAGUGAUUCAGAUACUGGAGGAUAUGCUUCGGAGUUGUGUGAUUGAUUUCCAAGGUAGUUGGGAGGAUUUUCUGCCGUUAGCUGAGUUCGACUAAUGUAACAGUUUCCAGUCUAGCACCCAGAUGGCACCUUACAAGGCUUUGUAUGGUCGUAAGUGUCGUACUUCGCUAUGUUGGACUGAAUUGGGUGAGCAACGAAUUUUGGGUCCUGAGUUGGUUUUCGAGACUAAAGAUAAGGCUAGACGAAUUCAGGAUCGUCUGAAGGCGGCUUCUGAUAGACAGAAAUCCUAAGCGGAUCUGAAAAGAAGGGAUAUCCUCUAGUCACAAUCAAACCUUCUUUGAUUCUGAUCGGACCAUCUGUAUUUAACUGAACCCAAUUACUAGCAAGCUAAGGAUAUUAAAUUUUCGUGUUUAAUAGUUUUUAGAAAUUAUAUUUUGUAUUAAACUUUUGUCUGAAUUUCUUUCAAUAUCAAAUUACUCUUUAUAACGUAUGGUAUUUUAUGUCAUAUAUAUAUUUUUUAAAUUGUGUACAUGCAAUUUAGCCUGUAUAAUAUUAAUGGCAUUACUAGAUUUAAUUUUUUUUUAACUUUUGAAAUUUUUUUCUUUUACUAUUUUUAAAGAAUAACCAAAUAUUUAGAAUUCAAUCAAAUGAGAAUUUAGUUCAGUUGACAAAAAUAGAUAUCUUGAAUCUUGAGUACUUCAGUUUAAGACCUACUAUGCACAAAUAUUUACGUAAGGUUUUUUAAUUUUAAUUUAAUUAAUUUUAAUUUAGUUUUAAUCUCGAUUAUAUUAGAACGAUCGAUUUAUGAUUAUUUAUAUUUGUAAUUAUAUUGUACUUGUUACGCUAAAAAAAAUAAAAUUAUUUCACUUUUCCUUUUCUUUCAGAAUAUUUCAUAUUAAUUCCUAAUCGAUCCAGACAUCUGUUUUGUGGUUGCAUCCACUUUAAACUUCAUAAUUCCAAAAUAAGGUGAGCAAAUAAAAGGAUUUGCCUUCCAAUUAUAUAUUCUCACUAAAGGGAAUAUGCAAGUGCCUUCGUUCAUCAUCAUCAUGUGCAUGUGCUUGAUUUUCCCUUUUACCUGGCUAAUUGAAAUGUAUACAUGGGAGUGUGUAUAUAUACAUGCUAAUUGUCACCAUCUUUUAAAGCAUAUAUUCAGCUCCCUGAUAAAUUAUAGAGGAAUAUAUGUUUGUUAGCAUCCUUAUUUAUUAAAGUGAGAUGUUUAAUAAAUACGAGAUUUAUGAUACACUUACAUUUAUAAUAUAAAUGAAAAAUAAAGUUAUUUAACAAACAUAUUUAUUAAAAUUCAUAUAAUAAGCAAUUGAUAUUUUUUAUUAUAAAUGUAAAGUUAAUUGUUUACCAUGCUUGAAUUUAGAGUUGUCUAAGUGUUGAGUUACUCGUCUGAACUCGAGAGUUUGCUCGAAAUAUGAGAGGGUUUAAACAAGUAGACAAAGCUAAAAAAAUAGACUUAGGAAAAUAUAUAGACCCGUUUCCUAUUCGAGCUAGGCCUUGAAUAGAGUUUUUAAGCCCGAGCCUAACCCGACCUGAAUAUAUAUAAUUUCUAUAUUGAUUCUAUUCCUUUGCUGGGUAUGGAACAUUUGAAGGUGUGCAAUUUACUUACGGCAUGUUUGGUUGGGUGUAUUGGCUAUGCCAAUACACCCCUAAUCGGUGGGCCCCACUUAAGCUCCCUUUAUUCCGUUGUUUGGUUCAUGGUAAUGCUAUUACGGGUGUAAUCUAUUACUGCCCUAAUCGGUGAAAUCCAUCGAUUUGUAAUACAGCCCUUUUGCUCAGAUUAGGUGCUGCAUCCAAAUCCCUCCCUGUUUUACCCUCCCAAUUGGCUUCCCCAUUCCAUCGCCUCUUCCUUCGUUCUACCUUCGUUCUACCUUUGCCUCCCGAUUGGCUUCCCCAUUCCUUCGCCUCUUCCUCUGUCUCUCAACCUCUUCUUUUCUUUUUCUUUACAACCAGUCACUCUUUCGUUUUGCCUUCUCAACCAGUCGACCUUUUUCUUUUCUUUUUCUCUGUGUCACUCCUUCGAUUGCUCUCAAUUGAUGGGUUUCCAGGUUACUGCUACUGAAAGGUAAAGGUUUCUAACUCUCUUUUGCUCUCAAUUAUCCUGUAAUUGUUCUAACUCUCUUCUUCUCUCUGUACUGAGUUUUAAUGGCUGUCUUGUUAGUGUCUUCUUCAUUGCACUUUCAGGGCCUGAUCAUAUAAACUUCAUCGAAACACGGAAUCUUUUGUUUCUUCUUCUCUUUUGCUGGAGUUUUUGCUUUAAUUUUCGGUAAAAAUUUCUUACUAAUCUUUGAUUUUGGUUGUUUUCUCAUUGGUUGAUCUUUACGGCCCUCAUGGAAUCAAAGACCUGAAAGUUUAAAGGGAAUUUUCCUUACUUUCUUGAUAAAAUUCAAUUUAAAACAUUCCAAUAAUUUUUUCCACCUUGUGAUUGGUAAUUUUUCACUUCUUAAUUCUUUUUGAAUAAUUGAGUUAUCUACUUCGUUAUUAGAUGAUUAUUGUUAUGAUUAUUUGAAGAACAGUAACUUGUGUACAUGGAGUUUAUUUUGUUCUAAUUGCGUGACAGGUUUUCGAUGCUUAGUUGCAUGUUAAACAGAAAUCCAGAAUGAUCCUAUCAAUGCAAGAAAAGUCACAGUUUAUUCCAAUUUACAAUCAUUUUUUUCUUUUUCUAUGUGUGUUUUUAUCUUGUUAGGAUUAGACUUGCUCAUAUUCAUUUUCGUUCAGUAUGUUGUUUUUUCUAUUAGAUUUUCAUUUUUCUGGAUUGUUCUUUUAAAAAAUGAAUGAUUUUUCCUAGUAAUCUAAUUUAAUUUGUGUUUUUAUGUUAUGGGGGGCUAAAAUGAUUAGUAUUCUUCUCCAGCAAAGAGAAUGAAGCCAGAGGUUUCUUCGUUGAAUCCCUGUGCAGCAUCAUACAUACCACUUGCCAAAAGGGAGGGUUCCAUAGCUAAAGAUAUUAAGGCUGGAAAUGAGUCUGCUUGGUUUGAUCCUUCCUCACGUAGCAAUGCUUCACUUGAAUCUGCAAUCCCUGGCAUUGGAAACCACCUGGUUGCACUGAAAAGCGACCCUGGUCAUGGUUCUUUGAUGCAAAAUCAGGGUGAAAUGAGUGGCGAGCAGAUUAUGGAUGAGGAAUUCGACAUGGAUUUGGAGUAUCUUCGCAUGAUGUUCCCCGGUUUGUCCAAUGACUCUGUUCUGGAUGUCUACAUGGCUAAUAAUGGAGACUUAGAAGCCACUAUUGACAUGCUGAACCAACUUGAGGUAAAUUUUGCCUAUCUUUAUUUUAUAAUUUAUAUAACUUGAUUGUCUGAGUGGUCUUGCUGGAUUAGUUUUCUAUAUUAUUUUCAUCUCGAAUGUUUCCUAUAUUAUUAGCUCCUCUUACUGUUCCAUCCUGCAGAUUUCCAAGUGUCCCUCUAUGAAAGUGCUAGUAGUGAAGUAAUUGAAUUUAUGAAUAAUUUUCUGAUGUUAUGGGUAACAUAUUUCACUUGUUUUUAACUGUAUGACAUCAAAGAGUUAAGGAUGUUAGUCUGCAUUCAGGCCUAUUUCAGCAUAACCAUGGUUUUUCUUCAUUUGUUUUAAUCCUCCCUGUGCAAAUGAUAGAGAUUUUUCAACCUGUUUUUGUCUCCCACCUUUUGAACUUUCAUAUGAUUUUAUACAUUGAUUUAUGUCAAUGAUUUCCCCACAUAUUUUGUUCUUAUGGAUCGUAUACCUUCAGAUGCUUUUAUUGUUUUUAUUCACCUCACUUUCAGUUGAAUAUAUUAUAACUGAGGGUUGUGUAGUGUUAUCUUGUUCAUAUAAAUUUGUUUGGAAAUUUACCUAUUCUAUAAUGCCAUUAAUAAUGUAUGCUAAUUUGAAUAUUGGGGAUAGGAUGUUUUCCUCAUGCUGCUUGCUUCUUGUUUACUCAUUGUACGGCAAGUUCUUUCUUUGGUUUCAUUAGAAGUGAUUUCUGGAGUAUUUGUGAUUUUGAUUCUUGAAUUAGUUUAUGGUUGGGAUUAAAAAUGCACAUUUUUGCCCUUAUUUCAGUAUUCAUGUACAUUGGAUAGUUCUCUUUGUUAGAUGUACACUGUUGAGUCCUCUGACACUCUUCCCGACACAUUGGAUAUCGGUGAUAUCUCUGAAUUUAUCUCUUCAGCAAACUGUGGUACUCUUAAACUGAAGAAUGUGGCAGGUGAAACCGGCGCGUCUUCAUUAGGCUCUACAGAAUCAGCUGUUACCUCCUGAUUGACAUAAUCAAAGGGGUUUCAGUGUUUCUAGUUUUAGUUGUAUCUCUCAGUGGAUAAGAAGUGUACACAAGUAGGGUUCUUCUUCAAGGUUGAGAAAUGUAGUACUUUGCUUUUAACACUUGAAGGGUUUAACAUUGGAUGUGUAGUUGUAUGCUGUAACAUUUGUUUGGUCGCUCAACUUUUUCUACAUUUGUUUGGCGAUGGAAGAGUAUUUGUUUUGUUUAUGCCUUUGCUGGGGGUUCAUUUUCUCUAUAUAAUAUAAUAACUUAUAUUAGAAGUAAAAUUGUAUUUUGCUUUCUACUAAAAGAAUGGGCAAAUUAGUUCGUGUACGUAAGAUUAAAGAGCAAACUAAUCUUUUUGUUAAAAAUUUCAUCCAUUUUUAUAAUUAAAACCGGUCUUUAUAUGUCGGCAUGAGGUACACGUGGUACAUUACAUGUAAUUGUCUGAUUAUUUUUAUUGUUAACAAUUGAUCUUUUUACAUAGUUUGUGAUAUAUGCACAAAUGAGGUGAAAUUUAUUAAAUUUUAUUCACCGAAUCUAUCAAUUUUCAAAUUUGGAAAAUCAGUCGACUUGCAACGACUUUUUGGAUAGGAUCAAACAUUCUUGGAUUGAGAUAUUUUCAUAGUGUUUGGAGAUCUCUUAAUAUAAGAAUAUUAAUUAUUAAGAAUUUUAUUAAAUUAUAUAUUUUAAUUAUAAUAUAUUUAAUAAUAAUUAUGUUUAAAUAUGAUUAAAAUAUUUAUUAUUGAUAUUAAUAAUCUUAUUAAAAUUUAAAUAACAAUAACAAUAAUAAUUUACCAAAACAAAUUUCUGCUAAUUAUUAAGAAUUUUAUUAAAUUAUAUAUUUUAAUUAAAAUAUAUUUAAAAAUAAUUAUUUUUAAAUAUGAUUAAAUUAUUUAUUAUUGAUAAUAAUAAUCUUAUUAAAAUUUAAAUAAUAAUAACAAUAAUCAUUUACCAAAACAAAUUUAUGCUAAGGGUAUUCUAGUCAUUUUAGUUUUUUCCAUUAUGUUAUUACACCUCUAUUCCAUUCAACCAAACACAAGAUUACUAUUACGCCUCUAUUCCAUUACAUUCAACCAAACAGUUGAUUUGCUAUUACACCUCUAAUCCAAUACACCUCUAAUCCAAUACAGCUCUAAUCUAAUACACAUCUAAUCUAAUACAGCGAACCAAACGCACCCUUAGUGAUACUGAUGAUGUCUAAGUUGAUUGUAAUUACAUUUAUAAGAUCCCGAUAGCUCUGCAUAAAGGUUUGGAUAAGAUGAUUUGGCGUUGCUCUAAUAAUGGAUUAUAUUCAAUAAAAUCAGGAUGCAAGUUAGCCUCUGAUUUGUAUUCAAAUUUUGUUUCGAAUGAAGCCGGCGGUCCUCGAUUGAAGAUUUGGAAUGGCCAUUUCCAAUCGGAGGUGAACUAUUUUACUUGGAGGUGUCUCAGAAACUUUAUUCCUACCAAGGCAAUGUUAAUUGUUAAAGGAUUAAAUGUGCCUUCUAUUUGUGCUAAAUUUUAUAUAUAAACUUACGCCCUGUUUGAGAAUGUUAAUCAAUUAAAAAUUAAUAUUCAAUUAAUUGAAAAUUGAUAUGUAAUUUUAGUUGAAAUUUGAUGAAUUGUUUUUUUUAAAUGGAAUGGCAAUAUUUGCAUGAUAUUUUGAGUUCAAAUAUCUUUAUGAUUAAAUUUUUAUUGAUUUAUUAUAUGUAAAAAAGAUUAAAAAAAGAAAGAAAAGAACAUUAUCACAAAAAUAUAAUUUAAUUAGUAUAUAAGAGAAUAUUUUAAUAAUUUUAAAAUUGAAUUGAUAAUCCAUCACACUGGUAUAGAUUAACUAAGGAGUGUUUCAAAGUGUUGAACGCCUCAUGGUCUGGAAAACAUGGCCAUAAAAACAAUAUACUAAACACAUAAGUGUAAGACCCAAAUUUUGCCCAAGCCUAAAAUAUUUACAGUCCAAUUACAAAACCCAAUAUUUAACCUAAACUAUCAGCCCAAUUAAGACCUAAAACAAAGACCCAAAACCAAGCCCAACACGGCCCAAACUAACAAAAACCCUAAUGCCUCGAUAGGCCCAAAAUCUAAACAAAUUUCAGCCAAAAUAUGGAAGCAGAAACCCAAGUGCGCCGCUCCCUACGUGGUGUCAGCACCUUCUCCGCUGCAACGCUGCCACUGGCCUCCUCCACGCCUCUGACAGCACCUGCAAAACCAAAGCAACAAGCAAAACAACAGCAGAGACAACAGUGGCAACAGAGUAGAAGGAAAACGAAAUAGUAGAAUAUAUUGUAAUUUAUUCGACUAUAAAAGCCUCGAAAAAUCAGUGUAUCAAGGGGGAUUUUUGGGGAACAAAAAAGAAAAUCGAAUAAAAGAGAAGAAAUUUGAAACAAAAUACCAAAGGUGAUUCCUCUUUUUAUUUUUUAUCUUACUUUCAAAAAAAAAACAAUAAACAAAAGCACGGUCUUUUUACCUGAGUCGACAAACCUUCCACAGUGGUCGAAAGUCCUCUCCGGCGUUCGAAACCUAGAACCCAUAGUGGUUCGGCGUGAUGAUUUUGAGAGACGUUGUAACGCCUCAAUUUUUAGGCCUGGAAGUAUUGGGCCUUCAGUCUAGGUUUGGGUAGAAGACGGCCCGAAUAAUUUGGAUGUUAUUAUUAUUAUUAUUUCGUAUGUUUAGUUUAGUAAUUAAAUAAAUUAUGAAGGGUUUAUGGUGUGGGAAAAGGUCCAGGGCUCGGCCCAUAGCUUUAGCAAAAUUAUUAAAUUUUGCCUCUUAAGGGAAUCUGGGCAAUAGGCCUUAUUAAUAAUUUGGGCAAGGAACUUGGUGUUGGCCGAAUAUUGGACUCUUGAGGGGCAAGAGUUGGCCGACCAAGGGUCUUUAGUAUAGGCAAUUCGGCUAGGUCUAUGUGCUUUUUAAUUUUUCCCUUGACGAAUAUUAUUUCCCUUCUCCCCUCUCUUUUAUUCAUAUUUUCUUUUCUUUUUCCCUCAUAGCCGAACCCAUACCCCUUUCUUUCUUCAUUAUUUCUUAAAAGUCAAAUCUUAUUAUAGCCGAACCUCUAUUCUUUUCUUCCUUAAAAAGCCAAAACCUUCAUACCUAUGGUUUAGGAAGCCGGAUCUUUGGCUACUUGAACCUGUUUCUUCUAACUACGGUAGAUCGGGAUUAAUAUCAUAGAUAUGAGCACUUUUCUGGGCCAAACAAUGAUUGGUAAGUUUGUCGAAUAAUUUUUGUUAAUUAUUUAUGAUUUAAUAUAAAAGCGGAAACCCCUUAAGGGUGGCUAAUGUUUGGACUAAGGGCGUUAGUGCCUCUUUUUUUCCAUUGUAUAAGCAUUAGCGUGGACAAAGGGGCGUGCAGUAAAGGGUUUGAAGACUGAUUCGGACUGGAUAUCUAGAUCUAAUCCAUAUUUCGGCAAAAAGGUAAGAACUCUAGGGUUAAGGGAUGUUGGCCGAAUUUGGUAAGGGGGAAUAGUACGUAGUUUGUUUUCGGUAUGUAGACUGACAUUUAGUAACUCGAUUGUAGGAAACCCCUGAGUGGAUCUCGCCAGCAUACCGUUACAAAUCAGGUGUGUAAACGACACCCACUCAUAGACUAGAUCGGCAAAAGCCGAAAAGUUGAAAUGCCGAAAAGUCGGCAUUUUGUGAACUUGCGAGCGUGCGAGUGCUCGUGAGGUGGUUAGUUUGUUAAAUUUUGGUAAUCACAAGCGGUAUGAUUGUAGAGUGCGCAAUUUCAUGCACUUCAGUAUAUUUGGGCUUAAUGGGCCGAAAACGGGUUAGUGGGCCAACGGGCCUAAUUCGGUAAAAACGCUCGGUAGGUGUUUUUGUUAAUGCGUUAAUAACUAUAAUGAGCAUGAAACCCUAAAAAUAUUGAUAAAAUUACUGAAAUACCUCUGUAAGAUAGAAUUACCGUAAUACCCCUAAAGGGGUAAGUUUACGAUUACGCCCCUCGAGGGUAAAUAACUAUUCUUACGCUAUAAUCUGACUGUCUUUCUGAAGCAUGCCUUGUUAAUUAUAUAUAUAUAUUCUACAUACAUGUCAUACUGCAUGGGGUUGGGUUUUGUUAUGGAGGAAGAACCCGUUCUGGUAGCUGUGCCACAUAUUCUGAUAUAAGCAACUUGGCUGCGGAUUAUAGUUAGUGCCGCAACUGGUGCUAACACUGUAAGUGUAAGGAUGGCGUGGGUGAUUUAUUCCCCACAGGAAGUGUAGGGAUGGACGGAGGCAAGUGCAGGGUUGGAUGGGGUUAUCAUGUGUUAAUCAUAUGAGACUGUUUUAUUAUGGGCCAACUGUAUUGAAAUGGGCCCAACUGUGUUGAUAUGGGCAAGGCCCAAUAUAUCUCGACUUGUAAUAGGGCUAUCGCCCAGAUUAAUACUAAUAUGGGCUAGACCCAGUAUACUUUGAUAUUGUAAAGGGCUAUGGCCAGAUUAAUAUUGAUAUGGCCUAAGGCCCAGUUAGCCCUGAUUUUUGAAUAGAGGUUAGGCCUAGUAAAGCUUGAACUGAUUUGGGCUCUGGUUGGGAUACUUUACACACUGAGUUUUCUAAACUCACCCCAUUUUUUCCUAUCUUUGCAGGUGAGCCUUAGAUCGGUGGACUUGGAGCUGGAGGGAUUCAGAGUGGCCAUGUGGACUGUUUAAAAUAAGUGUUUAUACCUUCACUUUUAUUUUAGAUUAUUUCCUUUAUGUUUUCGGGUUUUUAAUUUGUAAUAAGGCUGCUUUAAUUAUUUUUUAAUUGUUUUUAGUAUGUUUUGUUAGCUUAGAUAUGAUAUUGUUUUAAUUGUUUGAAAUUGAAUAGCUCUAGGGCGUGUUUUCAAAAGAAAUUACCUGAUUUCAAAAUAUCGCGAAACAAGACAAAGCUUCCGCAACGAAAACGUUUUCAAAAUUUAAUAAGUGAUUUCAAAUGGAUAAAAACGAAAUGGUUUCUUCUAAACAAUCGCUCAGUUAAAGUGUGGCAAUGGUUGUGUGCAUGUCUAGGAGUGGAUCCGUGGAGAGCUUGGUACUUAAGCAGUCUAAUAGACUCACCUCCUCUUUUCUAGUAUCCUACCUGGUGCACAGCUCCCAUUCACUUUAAUUUAAAACGAAAAUAUUCUUUGAACACUAAGAAAAAAAUUUAGAUAAGACAUGAGUUUUCAGUUACGCUUUAAUGUGACACGUUGGAUUCGACCGUAAUAUAUGAGCCGGGUUUGGGGUGUUACAUUUAGUGGUAUUAGAGCCCAGUUGCAACAACUCGGCUGUGGAUCGGGUCCGAACGUUUUUCAUAAAAUUUUGAAAUCUAGUUCCAUGGAAAAACACUGAAAUCGAUUUUGUGGAAAUGUUAGAAAAUUAUUUUAAAUUUUGUUUUCAAAGUGCACAAAGAAUAAAUUUGAAUUUUACUAAGUGCACAAAGAAGUGGCACACUGAAUCCCCGGCACCAAGUCUGUAAGUACCUUUUCUGAACUUUACUAAGUAUUUGUUAUAUUACUGAGACUCUGCUAUGACAUUAUAGUUAGAGCUAGAGUGCACAGUAGAAGCAUAGUGGUUUGGCUUGAGUAAUACGGUUAGUUGAUAGUUUGAAAUUUCGAGGACGAAAUUUCUUUAAGGGGAGUAGAGUUGUAACGCCCCGAUUUUUGGGCCUGAAAGUAUUGGGCCUUGAGUCUGGGUCUGGGUAGAAGACGACCCGAAUAAUUUGGAUGUUAUUAUUAUUAUUAUUAUUUAUUAUUUCGUAUGUUUAGUUUAGUAAUUAAAUAAAUUACGAAGGGUUUAUGGUGUGGGAAAAGGUCCAGGGCUCGGCCCAUAGCUUUAGCAAAAUUCUUAAAUUUUGCCUCUUAAGGGAAUUUGGACAAUGGCCUUGUUAAUAAUUUGGGCUGAGUUUUAGCAUAAGCAGGCACCUGGCCCAGUGGCUAAGGACGCUAGGAGGGCGUGGGAGGUGCUUGGGUUCAAGGCACAGCGCGCGCAAAUUGGGUGUUUUAUUUUAAUAUGCAGAUGGCGGUUGAAAUAAGGGUUAAGAGGAAAUGCCAGCAUAAUUCAACACAAGGAGCGCCUGUGGCGCAGUGGCAGCAGCGUGCUGGGCACACAGAGAGGGGGCGGGUUCGAGUCCUUGCGCGGGUGAACUCCGUUUUAUUUUUGAAACGGGCCAGAACUGAAGAAGGUAAGGUUAUAAAAUAAUUGAGAGAGGAUUAUGUUAUGGAAGGAACCUCGGUGCAGUGGCAAGCAGUGUAUGUGUGUGUUUAGCAGGUCCUGGGUUCGAGAGGAACAGUAGGCAAAAUUUCUUUUUUAUUUCACAAGUAACCGGAGCUUCAGCAGGUAAGGUUUUAUAAAUAAUUGUAACCAUAUACUAGUAAAGAAUGAAGUGUGGUGCAGUGGCCAGCAGCACUGGCGUAAGUGUAAGGGUAGACGGAGGUUUGGGGUUCAAGUCUCACUUUGUUUUUAUUCAUAUUUUCUUUUCUUUUUCUUUUUCCCUCAUAGCUGAACCCAUACCCCUUUCUUUCUGUCUCUUCCCUUAUUUUACUUUCUUCAUUAUUUCUUAAAAGCCGAAUCUUAUUAUAGUCGAACCUCUAUUCGUUUCUUCCUUAAAAAGCUGAAACCUUCAUACCUGUGGUUUAGAAAGCCGAAUCUUUGGCUACUUGAACCUGUUUCUUCUAACUACAGUAGAUCGGGAUUAAUAUAAUAGAUAUGAGCAAUUUUCUGGGCUGAACAAUGAUUGGUAAGUUUAUCGAAUAAUUUCUGUUAAUUAUUUAUGAUUUAAGAUAAAAGACAGAACCCCUUAAGGGAGGCUAACGUUUGGACUAAGGGCGUUGGUGCCUCUUUCUUUUCCAUUGUAUAAUCAUUAGCGUGGACAAGGGGAUGUGCAGUGAAGGGUUUGAAGACUUCUUCGGAUUGGAUCUCUAGAUCUAAUCCAUAUUUCGGCAAAAAGGUAAGAACUCUAGGGUUAAGGGAUGUUGGCCGAAUUUGGUAAGGGGGAAUAGUACUUAGUUUGUUUUCAGUAUGUAGACUGAUGUUUAGUAACUCAAUUGUAGGCAACUCGUGAGUGGAUCUAUCCAGCGUACCAUUACAAAUCAGGUUUGUAAACGACACCCACUCAUAGACUAGAUUGGCAAAAGUCGAAAAGCUGAAAUGUUGAAAAGCCGUCAUUUUGUGAACUUGCGAGCGUGCGAUCGCUCGUGAGGUGGUUUGUUUGUUAAAUUUUGGUAAUCACAAGUGGUAUGAUUGCAGAGUGCGCAAUUUCGUGCACUUCGGCAUAUUUGGGCUUAAUGGGCCGAAAACGGGUUAGUGGGCCAACGGGCCCAAUUCGGUAAAAACACUAGGUAGGUGUUUUUGUUAAUGUGUUAAUAACUGUAAUGAGCAUGAAACCCUAAAAAUACUGAUAAAAUUACUGAAAUACAUCUGUAAGGUAGAAUUACCGUAAUACCCCUAAAGGGGUAAGUUUACGAUUACGCCCCUUGAGGGUAAAUAACUGUUCUUACGCUAUAAUCUGACUAUCUUUCUGAAGCAUGUCUUGUUAAUUAUAUAUAUAUAUAUUCUGCAUACAUGUCAUACUGCAUGGGGUUGAGUUUUGUUAUUGAGGAAGAACCCGUUCUAGUGGCUGUGCCACAUAUUCUGAUAUAAGCAGCUUUGCUGCAGAUUAUAGUUAGUGCCGCAACAGUUGCUAACACUGUAAGUGUAAGGAUGGCGUGGGUGAUUUAUUCUCCACAGGAAGUGUAGGGAUGGACGGAAGCAAGUGCAGGGUUGGAUGGGGUUAUCAUGUGUUAAUCAUAUGAGACUGUUUUGUUAUGGGCCAACUGUAUUGAAAUGGGCCCAACUGUAUUGAUAUGGGCAAGGCCCAAUAUAUCUCGACUUGUAAUAGGGCUACGGCCCAGAUUAAUACUGAUAUGGGCUAGACCCAGUAUACUUUGAUACUGUAAGGGGCUAUGGCCAGAUUAAUAUUGAUAUGGUCUAAGGCCCAGUUAGCCCUGAUUUCUGAAUAGGGGUUAGGCCUAGUAAAGCUUGAACUGAUUUGGGCUCUCGUUGGGAUACUUUACACACUGAGUUUUCUAAACUCACCCCAUUUUUUUCCCAUCUUUGCAGGUGUGCCUUAGAUCGGUGGACUUGGAGCUGGAGGGAUUCAGAGUGGCCAUGUGGAUUGUUUAAAAUAAGUGUUUAUACCUUCACUUUUAUUUUAGAUUAUUUCCUUUAUGUUUUCGGGUUUUUAAUUUGUAAUAAGACCGCUUUAAUUAUUUUUUAAUUGUUUUUAGUAUGUUUUGUUAGCUUAGAUAUGAUAUUGUUUUAAUUGUUUGAAAUUGAAUAGCUCUAGGGCGCGUUUUCAAAAGAAAUUACCUGAUUUCAAAAUAUCGCGAAACAAGACAAAGCUUCCGCAACGAAAACAUUUUCAAAAUUUAAUAAGUGAUUUCAAAUGGAUAAAAACGAAACGGUUUCUUCUAAAUAAUCGCUCAAUUAAAGUGUGGCAUGGUUGUGUUCAUGUCUAGGAGUGGAUCCGUGGAGAGCUUGGUACUUAAGCAGUCUAAUAGACUCACCUCCUCUUUUCUAGCAUCCUACCUGGUGCACAGCUCCCAUUCACUUUAAUUUAAAACGAAAAUAUUCUUUGAACACUAAGAAAAAAAUUUAGAUAAGACAUGAGUUUUCAGUUACGCUUCAAUGUGACAUGCUGGAUUCGACCGUAACGUCUGGGUCGGGUUUGGGGUGUUACAGAAGUUAAAAAAGUUUUUGGUUAUUUUUUUUAUUUUGGAAGUAGAGGGUUCAAAACGGAGAAAAAAUGGCUCUUUUCGUGUACUCCGACCAUUGUGGACGGCGGCCGCCACGGUGGUCCGGUGAUCGGACCUUGGCCGGAUGCUGGAAGAGGGGAUAGAGUUUGAGAGGUUUUUCCUUUGUUUUUUUUGAGAGGUGUUGAAAAGAGCAAAAAAAAAGAGUGUAAAUUUUGGUUUAAAUACUAGUACUAAAACGAUACUGUUUUGGGCUUUAUGCCCCAGAUGCAAAACGACGCCGUUUCAUCCCUACCCGCGUGUUGACCCGACCCGUCUAGGGGCAUCCACGUGUUUUGACCGAAUGGGCUUGUUGCACUUUUGGCCCUUCCGCUUUUUUAUCAAUUUGCAAUCAAGCUUCCUUUUAUUUGUAAUUCGUGCCCUAUAAUUUAUUUCAAUCAUCAAUUUAGUCCCACACAAAGUGACACGUUUUGGAGGGCAGGAAUAUUUAUUCCUCUAGUCCCUCCAUUUCAUUCGCGCACUGCAAUAUGGUCCUUUCCCUUUUAUUCCUCUCAGAUUUGCCCCGAAUUUUUGUUUUAAGUUCAAAUUGGUCCCUUUUUGUUAUUUUUGCUAUUUUAUUAACUGUUUAAUAUUAUUGUUACUAUAAUCAUAUUUUAUUUUUGUGCUUAUUUAUUUGCUACUAUCAUUAUAUUAUUAUAUUAGUAACUUUGUAUUAUUAUCAUUAUUAUAAUCAUAUUUUCUUUUUGUGUUUCUUUACUUAUUAUUACAUUAUUAAUUGAUCUAUUAUUACUAUUAUUAUUAUUUUCACUAUUACUAUUAUUUUCUAACAUUAUUAUUACUAUUACUAUUAUUUAUUUAUUUAUUUAUUUAUAUCAUUGUUGUUAUUAUUAUUAUUCCUGAUUUUAUUAUUAUUGGUGUAUUAUUAUUAUUAUUCUUCAUUUUAUUAUUAUUUUCUAUUUUAUCAUUUAUUAUUAUUAUUUAUUAUCAAUAUUAUUAUUAUCAUUGCUAUUUUUAUUUUCAUUACUAUCAUUAUUAUUAUUUACUAUUAUUUAUUAUCAUUAUUAUCACCAUUUCCUACUAUUAUUAUUAUUAUUAUCAUCAUUAUUAUUUAUUUGUUUACAUAUGUUUUAUUACAAAUUGUGUCUUUAACUUCAUUUAUCUUUUGAUUCUUUACUUUCAAUAUUUCUUUGUCUUUAUUAUAUUUCAAAACUGGUAUCGUCAUUUCAUGUGCGUGAUUUAUCAUUAGUGUUCUUGUCGUCAUCAUUGUUAUUAUUAUUUAUUUUGUUUUCCUUUGAUGGUUAAUACUGGAAUUAAAGUGAUAUGCAUUAUGGAUUGCUUAUUAGUAUAUUUACAUUAUUGCCACUUAUUUGUGUAACAUUCGAUUCUUAUGCCAUUUUUAUAUUACGCUAAUUCUUACUCAAAUACACAAAAAUAAAAUUUUUAAAAUAAGGCAAUAUUCUGUGUUUGGAGAUUUGAAAGAUCGUGCCCUAACUUAUUGGGUUUCGAUUUUUCUUUGUUCGACCUAAAUGACCGAAUAACCUUUUGAAAUUAAAACGCAUGAAUUUUGAAAAUCAAAAAGCAAGCUUAUUCUCGAGGUUUUAAAAUGCUGUGUCCUAAUUUAUUGGAUGUGACAUUUUAUUACUUCGGGACAAGAAGGUCUUUAACAUCCGUUUCGAUUGAUGCAAGCAAAUUCUUUGUAAAAAAAUCAACAUUAAAAAGAAAGGAUCGUAUUUUUAAUUCUUUUCGAGUUUUUAAAUUUUUACAUUAAGACAUUAAUUAAUCAAUUUGGUACCAAUUUUGGGCGUGACAAGGGUUCUAAUCAUUCCUUGCACGUAACCGACUCCCGAACCCGUUUUCUCAAAUUUCGUAGACAAAAAUUGUUGUUUUAGCAAAUCGAAAUAUUUUAUUAAAAUAACCAAAUUUCUAAGUGAUCUGAUCACACCUAAAUAAAAAGAUUGAUAGCGACUUCCAAUUUUUGUUUUCUUUUCAAAAUAUAAAAUUGAUCCGUUUUAAAAAAAUAGUUUCGAGAGUAAGAAUGUUAGAUCCAAUCGGUUAAAGUAUCCUAUCCCAUUGAAUUUCUAAUUUCCAGCCAAUUGGGUGACUCAUUCUGUCUCGAUUAUGGAUUGAAUAUACACGGAUCCCACAACCCUUUAAAUGACGAGAGUUUCCCACUGCCACAGUUUAGAAAUUCUAUUUUAAAGAGAAGUGACAUUUACCUCAUUUACUCUUAUCGGUUUGUCAUGUUUUGAAUUUGAUCUAUUGCAAAAACUUUCUGAUCUCAUGAUGAGUUUUAUUCACUAUGACACCUUCGUUGACAACAUCCAUCAUAUUUCUUUCCAUGGGUAGGAGUCAUUCAUAAAAAUAUUGGAUGAAUAAUUGUUCCAAAAUUCUAUGUUGUGAGCAACUACCACAUAAUUGCUUAAAUCUCCUAAUACUCGUGAAGAGUCUCCAUACCGUUUUGCUUGAUGCCGUAACUUUUUCCUAGUAGAAAUAGCACAUGACGUAAAAAAAAAUCCGAAAAUAAUCUUAUCAUGUCAAUCCAUGUAGUAAUAGAUCCAGGAGGUAGAUAAUAUAGCCAAUCCUUCACCUUGUUGGCUAGUGAAAAGGUGAAGUCUCUUAGUUUGGUUUGUUCUUUGAUCACUCAUUGUCGUCUCAUAAUAGAACACACUACACCACAUGAAAAUCAUUCAAGUGCUUACGAGGAUCUUUGUUUUUUUGACCACAAAAACUGUUAGUACAAAUAUCCGGUGAGAAAAAUCUCGAACACACGAACAGAACUCGAAAGAAGAAGAAAUAGGACAAGGCUCCAAGGCGUGUAUCAAACCACUUUCUCUAAGAUUAUAUUCGCCCCCACCUAUCUUUGGUGUACAAAUGAGUUCCAAGCAAAUUAACCUUGAUGAUACAAUGAAGCCAAUGACUAUUAGCGUUUUGUACUGACGAGAAUAGCCCACUACACACUGAGCAAUGUAUGACAAGAAACUCAAUUUCUAUAAAGGAUUUUUGCAGUAAUACUUUAUAGAAUAAUCUAAUGAUAUUAGAAAAUGAAGAAAGGAAAGAAAGAAUAUUAGAAUUUGUUGGUAUGAUUUCCAAAUGAAAUCUCAUUCUAUUUAUAGGAAUUUUCAUGUCUCUUCAUAAAGACAUCUUUCAUCAAUAGGUGUCUUUCUGAAUAAUAAUGUCUUUAAAAUAAACACAUAAUUAUUCAAUUAAUUAUAACUAUUCAAAUAAUAUUAUUUAAAUAGUUAUAAUUCUUUUUCAAAAAAUCAAAUAAUAUAAUCUUUUGAUUAAUUACACCCAUUCAUUUAUAGUUGUAAAUAUUUGAAAAUGUUCCAACAAAAAGUAGGCAAUAAAUGAUUUAGUCCAGAUUUUAAUUCAAAAGAUACUUCUAAUCCUAGAUAUUCAAUGCACAACAGUUGUUGCUUCAGAUUUAUUUAAGAGAGAAAUUGGUUAUUCUCCUUUUGAUUCGGUAGAUGAAUCGACUGAAUUGUUCUAUGUAUCUAGUUGGGUAAUGAAGAUGGUUGGUUAGUUCUUGCUCGAACUCUCUUCCUUAGUCUUCGAGCAGUUCUCUCAAACUCAGGAUUGUACAAGAGUUCACCUGCACGAGAAGAUUAAAAUUUUAAUUUUAAUAAAUAUAUUUAAUACUGAGAAAAAAAGAAGAUCAAAACAUAAAAAUGAACAAAAAUUAAAUUAAAUUAAAAACAAGAAAGAGAUAAAAUUAUUAACAUUAAUAUAUGAUAAAAAGGUUAAAAUCUGUACAAUUGUUGAGACCUAUAAAAAUAAAAUCCUACUAAAAAAUAUAAAUUUAGUACAUAACAUUGAGUAGAGUCGUAUUCAUAGAUAUUGAUAAUAACUUUAUUUUUAAAACAAAAACAAGGAAAGUAAAUAUGAUGGAGAUUUUAGAAAAUAAAAAGCUAAAUUUAAAUUUAAAUCUUAACCAAGAAGGCAAUAAUAAAAAUUAUCAAUGAGAUGGAGCUCUAGCCAAUUGUAAAAUAUCUGUUUGAUUCACAAGUUUAAUCAUUGAUGGAAAGAUAAUUCCAUUGUUCUUUAAUAGAUUAGUUCAAAGUUGCCAAUGUCGUACCUAGCAAUCAGUCUCUCCUUAAUUUAUCGAUAACCAAGAGAAAGCUGUUGAAAUUAAUCUUCUUAUCAAUGAACAACCCUAUAACCUCACGUUUAGAAUUUAACUUACCGAUAGAGUUAUAAACGAGAGAGACCUAAUUUUAACCAAAAAAACACACAAGUAGGAUUUAUUUAAAUUAGAUUGCAUUCCCACACAACAUUGAUUGCAUACACAGUUACAGUAUUUAAAUUAGCUCCAUUGGCCAUGGAUUCUACAAGUUGUGUUGACAUUGAUGAUUUUUUUUAUGCUAUUGGUGAUGUCUGUAUUGUCAAAGCGUCAGGUAGAAUGUAUAACAGAUGGCUUGACCAUUGCUGACUUUUACCAAUCCAGCAUGUUUUAAAACUUGGUGGUAGUUGCUGCUACUGGUUAUGUAUUGAGUUGCUGGGAUGCUAGUUAUGUUUUAUUCUGCUGUUGGAAACAUGGUUUGUUGUUGGGGAUUUUUUUGUUGUCAGAUUUACUAUGUUAUGGUUCCUGGUUUAUUGUUUGAUGACUUGAUGGAUGGACGCAGAAGUUGGAGAAAACAUAAGAGUAUAAAUUGAGUCAAAAGAUAAAAUAGUAAAGGCCAUUCUGUUUUAUUUUUCCAUAAUAUUAUACAAACAGUCAACCAUGUAUAUACACAUGGCACUGACAUGAUUGUGAAGGCCUACACACUUUCUAAUGGUUGUACUGGCUAUCAAAAUUUAUUACCAUAACAGUAGUACGGGUAAUGAAGCAGCAGGCAGCUCGUUAUUAUUUAAUUUUGAUAGCCUUAACUACCAGCAUAGCUUGAUGAAGAAGCAAAGGCAGUUAUGCCUCUAACUCAAAUGAUGCCUUCAUUGUGGGUGAACGGCUCACGGGAUCAAUUUCAAUAGAUGCAAUGUACCCAAACUUUGUAACUUUAAAUUUUGGUUUUCCUCUUUUCUCAAGGUUGGUUUUGAUUUGCCCCCAGUGAAUAGGUUGCCUUUGGAUAUCAGUAUAGACCUGCAGCAUGCACGCAAAUGGCAUGCAAAUGGUCAUAGAUUAAAUGAUUAUAUAUACGCAUUCUAACUAGUUAAUUAAUGAUAAGAUUGAAUUGAAUGCAACAUAUACCUUGCUGUUCUCAUCUAGUGGGUUGCUCCAGGCAACAACCCACUUAGUUCCAUCACGUCGCCUGUACACAAGACCAGCAACUGAACCCUGACUAUCAGCAUCAUCAGUCACUGAUUCAUGUGUAAACUCACUCGCAUCUCCAUCUUCAAUUAUUUCGGGGAAAUCCGCAUAAUGAGAGCCUUGCCAAACUUUCUUGUCAGUCAAGGUUAGAGCUUCGCUGGAAGAGUUCCAAAGCUUGCCGUUUGUGGUUUGUUGAGCAGUUUUCUGAGAAGUAGCCAUGGUAGCUUUCUAUGUGCUUUGGUUUGGUUGUG